rnacentral:lncRNA from 1 species
GUUCUUGUACCUGCAAACCAAAGCAAAUGGGCGGAAUUGAUUGUUUCAAACCCAUGGAGUCAAGAGCGCUACGUUGAAUUGGGGGAAGAUUACUUGCGUCCUGGAAAUUUUGCUGGGCAAAGUACACCUGGAAAGCAGUUCAUGGAUUUCCUGAAGACUCAUCUUGAAGCUUCUGAUAUCCCAGAUAUUUCUCCUCCAAAUGCUGGGUUUCCAACUGUCUCUGGCCCACUCACCAAGGAAAAUGCAUUCUUGCUAUUGGAUUGGAUUAAAAGGCUAAAGUAUAAGGGAAUUCGCAUCCCAGAGAAGUUCUUGACAUGCAUAAAGGAAGGCUGCUGGCUGAAAAUUACUAUGAAUGGCUACUCUGGUUAUAGACCACCAUCGCAUUCUUUUUUCCCUCAUUCAUCAUGGGGAGACGUUCUACAGAACGGAUCGGUGCUUGUUGAUAUUCCCCUGGUUGACAAGAGCUUUUAUGGUGAAAGCAUUAACAAUUACCUGGAAGAGCUGAAGACUGUUGGAGUCAUGUUUGAAUUUGCGGAAGCCUGUGAGUUCAUUGGAAAGCGUCUUAUGUGUCUUGCAGCAUCCUCGAAUGUUACCAGGGACAAUGUGUUUUCAAUACUUAAUUUUAUUAGAUUUCUAAGGGGAAAGUGUCUUCCACCAGAUAGCUUCAUUCAGAGCGUUAAAGAUGGAUGUUGGCUGAAGACGUCCCAGGGUUACAGGUCACCGGGGAGAUCUGUUUUAAAUGAUCAGGCCUGGAAAACUGCUUCAGAAAUUAGUGACAUACCCUUCAUCGAUCAGAACUACUAUGGUCAAGAGAUCCUUUCCUUCAAAGUGGAGCUCCAGUUGCUUGGCGUUUUAGCUGGUUUCGAUCAAAACUACCAGCUCGUUAUUGACAACCUGAAAUCGCCAUCAUACUUGAACUAUCUCUCAGCUGAUGCUGUUCAUUUGAUACUGGCAUGCAUUCGCCGUUCAGGAUCAUCUGAAAAACUUGUUAGAGCACUUGGAAAUACCAAAUGCUUGAAGACGGAUGCUGGAUUCAAGUCUCCAGGUGAAUGUUUUCUAUGUGAUCCUGAUUGGGGUUGUCUUUUACAGGUUUUCAGUUGUUUCCCAAUGAUUGAUGAAACUUUCUAUGGAAGCAUCAUUGUCUCUUCGAAAUGGGAGUUGCGGCAGUUAGGUGUUGUGGUGGAUUUUGAGAAGGCUGUUGAAGAAUUUGUUCGCCAUUUUAAGCUGCAAGCCUCUUCAUCUUCAAUUUCGAAGGACCAUGUUUUGUUAUUUCUAUCAUGUUACAGACAGCUCAGUGGAAUGCGUUGGAAAUUUCCUGAUGAAUUUAAGCGCUGUAUAAGUGAGGUAAAAUGGCUAAGGACGCGGCAAGGUGAUAGUCACAUCGGUGAUUAUAGAUCUCCAAGGGACUGCAUUCUGUUUGGUCCGGAUUGGGAAUCUAUUUCUCCAAUUACACUACUACCUUUCAUUGAUGACAGUGACCGCUUCUACGGCGAUGCCAUUCAUGAAUACAGAAAGGAGCUGAAGAGUAUGGGAACUGCUGUAACAUUUGCUGAUGGUGUGAAGUUUGUAGCUGAUUGCCUUCGUAUUCCCUCAAAUCCCAGCAACAUCUCUCCUGAAAAUGUAUUUUCACUACUGAAAUGCAUCCGGAUGUUGGAAGAAAAGAACAUCUCUUUACCUGAGUCUUUUACCAGGCAAGUUUCUCAAAAAUGGUUGAAGACACAUGUUGGUGACGGUUAUAGUAGCCCAAACCAGUGCUUGUUGUUUGAUCAGCAAUGGGAAUCAUAUUUGAAGCAGACAGAUGGGCCUUUCAUUGACGAGGAGUUUUAUGGUUCUGAAAUAAAAUCCUAUCAAAGAGAGCUCAGCGCAAUAGGAGUCACUGUUGAUAUAGGAAGAGGUUGUGCAUUGCUUGCGUGCCGCCUCGAUUACCACACUGACUUUACCGCUAUAGUUAGAAUUUAUAAUUAUCUGGCUAAGUUCAAGUGGGAGCCUGACGGUGAAGCUGCAGCAAGGAUUUGGAUCCCGGAUGGAUGGAGAAGAGGAAAGUGGGUAAGCCCUGAAGAAUGUGUGUUACAUGACAAGGAUGGUCUAUUCAGUUCACGGUUGAAUGUGUUGGAUAAACACUAUUACGCAGAGUUACUGUGCUUCUUCUCAAGUGCUUUUAGGGUUAAAUCCAAUCCUUUGAUUGAUGAUUAUUGUAAGCUUUGGAAGGAUUGGGAGAUUUCAGGACACAAACUGUCUAAUGCCGAGUGUUGUGCAUUUUGGUGUUGUGCUGUUAAACAGUGUAGUUCAAAGAAAACAGAAGAGCUUGUUGAGAGCUUGGUGAAGCUGCCUGUUAAUUCAGGCUCGGAUGAGAUUCUGUUGCUCGAUAAGCGUGAUGUCUUCAUUGCUGACGACCUUCAGCUGAAGGAUAUUUUUGAAGAUUCUUCUCCUCACUCACUAUUUGUCUGGUAUCCAAAGCCGAGCUUGCCUGCUUUGCCUCGGACUAAGUUGCUGGGAUUAUACAGCAAGAUUGGUGUUCGCAAAAUUUCGGAAUCUGUAAAGAAGGAAGAAUUAUUCUUCAGAGAAGGAGUGGAACUCAAGCAAGUAAAUCGGCAGGAUUUUCCCAUUGGCAAAGUGCUAGUUAAACUCAUCCUGGGUUAUCUAGCUGAUCCCUCUAUUCAAUUGGAAGCAGAAAAGAGGCAUGAUGCUGUCAAAUGUCUGUUGAACCUGACCAUUCUGGAGACUGUAGAACCAAUCGCUGUAAGGUACACUUUAUCUUUAUCAUCGGGGAAAAUUGCUGCUGAGAGGGGAAGCCAAAUGAUUCGUUGGGAGAAAGAGAGUGGAGAGCUUUUUGUGCAGAAGAUUGACAGGUCUGGUGGGUGCAAAAAUCUCAUCAAAUAUGCAACACAAUUUGCAGAAAUCAUAUCCAAGGGAGUGCUGUGGGACAGAGAAGAUCAUGCAAAUGCACUUGCUGAGCUUAUUAAGUUGGCUUUCCUGGUGGAUUUUGAUGAAGAAGAAGUCGAUUUUCUCAUGAAGCACAAGAAUAUGCAGAUUUUCAUGGAGGAUGAGGAGUUCCUUUCUGCUGCUUUCCCUUCUGAGUAGGUGAUACGGAUACGGUACUAUGCCUUUCUUUUAUCUUGCUUGGUGUGUACUUUUUAUCUUUUUUCAAUAUAAUAUAUUAUGGUGUGCGCUUUUUUAAAUGAACGUGUAAGAAUGGAUCAGUUGCUACUUGCUGAUCCAAAUUAGUAUAAAACUUCCCAGUAUUGUAAUUUUAUUUUGUGCUUUUUAAAUACAUCUAUUGACACUGCAUGUUUCUUUAUGGGUCUUGCUUUAUCUCUGUUUCUUCCUUUCUCCUUCCUCCAUGUGCAUCAGUACACUACAUGUGCAUAAAAAUCCAACAAUGGCUAUAAUCAUAAAAUUGAUCUAAAGGUCUCAAGUUUAUUAUUGAUCAAAUGUUGAGUCAUCCAACAUGUCAACACCCAUUUCUUAUUCAUGCCACAUCAUCAACUGAUUCAAAGGCCUCUUGCUAACAAGUUGUGGUGGCGAGUGGUUCACUUAAGCAUUUUGUCAGGCACUCGAUUCAUUGUAUCAAACACCUGAUUCUUGUCUAACAAUGUGUUGUGUAGCUCAAUAUCUUUUACCAGCCUGCAAGGAUCCUGUGCUAACCAGCCUUACAGACUCUGUAAUGGGAGUUGGUUUUGACCCCUGAAAAGGAUGACUCUGUUAAUGGGUCCAAACUCAUGACAACUCAGCAUGCAACGUCAACAUGGUCCUAACUACAUUAACUGAUUUUCGAAUUCAUUCAUUAUUUAACACUUUACAGUAACGCUAUUGUUUUAUAUUAUUUUAAUUAACAUCGGUUUAUAAUAAUUACUAAAUAUCUUCAUCGGCCCCAUUACCACAUUGAUGCUAGAAGCCAUUGGUCACCUACAUCUGGUACAGCUAAGUCAUUUAAAAACUUUACACUAUAUAUUUGUUUGUUUAAUGCUAUCUUUGUUGCAUUUAAGAAUUAAAUGUGUUAGAAGUGGAUAUUUUCCUUCUGGAAGAAGAGAGAAUUUCUACUUUUCAAGCUCAUACCAUUCUUUUCUUAAUAUUGGUUCUUGUAUUUUCUAGUUACCAUGAUGCCUAAUGUCUAGUGUGUGACAUUUAUAUUCUAAUGCCCUGAUCUGACUAUACAAUUCUACAUUAGUACUUUCUAAUGCAAUUAUUUUUUGUCUAAACUUUACUGCCUUUAAGAGUGUCGUACAAUAAUGGCCGUCUUUCCCCUUCACAAAGUAUAAUUAAAAACACUAGCUCCUUUUUCUCUCUCUUCCAAUAAUGCAAAUUUGAUUUCUCCACCCUUUACGAAGAGUAGUUUAAUGUUGAUGGAUUAUAUGAACUGACUAGAACUCGAACUAAAAAAAAUGGAUCACAAAAUUCACAUCAAUGAUAUUUAUGACGUUCCUUGGAGUUGGAGAUAUGAGAAGAAAUUAUGUUGCAACCGGAGUAACUUACAUUAUAAAAUUGAAAAACUAGAUGCUUAAAAAUUUUAAGUUCAUUCUGUUUCAGUAUUCAUAGAUCCUUGACUGUACUUAGCAACUGGAGAUUUCAAUGAAAUUAUUUAAACUCAUCAAAGUAUUAUGUAAACCCAAUUUUUAAUAAAAAAAAAAUUUACUACUAAAAUGCCUAAAAUGUAUAUUACUAAUAAAGCCAAGAUAAUAAAGUUAAAUGAAAGUGUUUUAUUUUGUAAAAUUUUUUAAUCAAAUUUUCAAUGCAUUUAAUGCAAUCAUCUCCCUUAAAUCCAAAAUUUAUUAUAUUUUAUUCUAAAUCGAUUAAUUAAAAAUGCACAUGGCCAAAAUUUUUUUUACUAAUGGAGUGCUGUUAAUCAACAUUGUAAUUAAGUUUCUAUGGCUAAUCAUGCUUCCUACACAAAAGGUACAGAGAAUUAGGAAAUGUUUUCAACAAAUUUUGGGGUAGGAAAAGCCAAACAUAUUUAGAACAAUGAAUUUGGGGCAGAUGGGGUACCUCAUUGGUUUGUUGCGUGCUGUGCGGUGUAUCUAAAAUUUGGGGGAGGCGAGAAGGGGAGAGGGAGUGGUAACAAUAGUGAAAGGUCAAAAUCAAGAGAGGUGUCUUUCAAAAUGAGCUUCACACCUGCAAAACAGUGAAAUAGAGGUUAGAGGUGAAGCCGGAGUACCCCGGCGUUCACACUCCGACGCUCAAGUUAGCAAACUCAAGCUUUUAUGGCAAAGAGAGCUGGCUAGCCCUCUGUAAAUUAGGGUUUAAGGUUGAAGAAAACCUAUUUUUUGGAGUGUGAGUGUUAAUGGUGAGUGAGAACAUGAUGGAGAAUGAAACCUAGGCACCUUUAUAUAUGGAGUACCUCAGUUGCCACGUGGCGUACCCUUUUUGGUUAACAUCCUUUUACCUUUUUAUGAUUUUUGGGCCGUUAUGUGCAUGUUCGCGGUGUAUCUCAUCCUUGGGAAACGUGGCGCACGCUGGAGAGUGGUCUAGGGUACCUCUGCAGUAGUUGUCGGGUAGGCGGCUGAGGACCACUGUCCUUGGGACAGUGUCCUUCACUUUUUGCAGAGGUAACAGGCGGCUGUCCCCCCCUUUUGAUACGACGUUUUUGAUUCCUAAUUAUAACAAAAUUGAAUAAUAUCUUUUAAGAGAUGGAGACGUUUCUCAUGGCGGAUAUUUUCGGAGGAUUCUCUUGCAUCUGAUCUGCCGGGUACCUCGAGUUACGUGGGGUACCUCAAUUUAUGUGGGGUACCUCUAUUUAUGUGGGGUACCUCUAAUUGUGCAGGGUACCUCUAUUUGUGUGGGGUGCCUCUAAUUGUGCGGGGUACCUCAAUUUGUCCGGGGUACCUUAAAUCAUGCCGGGUACCUCGGAUCGUGCGGGGUACCUCAGAUUGUGCUGGAGUCAUUCCAUUUAUCGACACGUGGCGCUUUACUACCUUUCUUAUUUUUUCCUCAAACAACAUCCCCCUAGUUUCUUUUUGGCGAGAAGUAUUGGAGGCAAAAGAAACUCAUUGUAUGAGUGACACAUGGCGAUGCAUCUGGACCGGGGAUACCUUGCUUAGUUUCUUCCCUUGACUGAACUUUGUGUACUGCUGAUCUAAAAAUCUUCUCUUUGUUUUUUCCUUUUCCCGCUUUUUUUUUUUGACAAUGGGAACGAACAAUUGUCUUCAUGUCUCUCUCUCAUUUUUCUUGGGAAAUGGCAGUCGUCUGACAAGCAGUUUGAAUUUUAAAAAUAUCAAUCUCACGCAAACAUCCCUUACCUCAUUUCUUAUGCAAUGUGUUCUGUCAGGUUGAAUUAAAAAUCCCUGACGUGAAUGUCAAUCUUCUCUCAUUUAUUUGAAAAAUCUCCAAACGAUCUUCCAAAAGUUGAUUAUCUCCACUGGCCUUCUUUUUUUAAAAUUUCGUCUCUUCUCCUGACUGCAUCAAUAUUGCUCACAAGUAAAAAAUUUCUUCUUUACUCUUUUUUUUUUAGCCUGGUCGUCUUCCCUAGGCUUAUUCUAUCUAUUCACUUUCCUUUUUUUUUUUGUUUAUCUCCUUCUUCUUCUCGUGUUUUCUCUCUUCUCUUUUCUUUCUUUUUCUUCUUAUUUCUUUCUUUCUUCUUUCUCUUUCUUUCUCGGCCGGCGUUCAUCUGGUGCGUUUUUCGGCGUGGAUCUCAGCUGCUGCAGUGGCGAUUUUGGCUCCAGAUCUGGUCGGUUCAAGGCGGUUUUCCGGUGACUCACGGCGAGAUCUAACCCGGCGGUAGACACGAUAACCCCCUUCUCUUGUGUCUUCAUUUUAUUCUUGCUUUCUCUCUCUUCUUUUUCCUUUUCUUCUCUCUUUUUCUUCUCUCUUUUUCGUUUCGGCCGGCGUUCUUCUUGGCGAUUUCCGGCAUUGGUUUGGUGGCUGCAGCCAUGGCAAUCGGCGUCGGUUCGGUGGCUGCAGCUCUUUCCCCCGCGUUGGUUUGGUUUAGUGGCUGCAACUUCUCCGUUUUUCUCUUUUUUUUUUUGGCCGGCGUCCUCCUUUGCAUUUUUCCAGAGUCGGUUCUCGGUGGUUGCAGUCAUGGCAGCCGGCGUUGGUUCUUGGUGGUUGCAGCCCUUCGUUUUUCAUUUUAUUUAUUUAUAAAUAAUUACAUAUAUUUAAGCUUAUUUUUGGUUUGUAUACUUGCAAAUUUUUACCUACUGUUUUUGGUUGCCUGCAGCUUCGUCUCCCCAACGAUUAUCAAUCCCGAUCUGCCGAGUUGGUGAAUCACAGGUAUCCCUCCUCGUUUCUCCUCCUUUGGUGCAUUUACAGUGGCGCUAUUUUGCAUACUCUGAGAAAAUUUUAUUUUUGUUUUUGUUUUUGUUUUAUUUUUGUGGUUGGUAUUUGCAUUUGAUGGUUGAUGUGUGUGGUGGGUGGUGCUUGGUAUGAAUAUGUUGUUGUUUGAGGAACUUGUGGCUUGUUGGAUGUGUUGUUGGGGGCUUGUGGAUGUGUUGUUGGGGAACUUGUGGCUUGUUGGAUGUGUUGUUGGGGGAAAGCAGAUGGGCAAGAAACAUACGGGACCAAUGAGGAAGCGUUGUGCAGUUGGGGCUAGUAGGGUUGACAGCCCUCCUGCGGGUUCUCCUUCCCACAUCUCCAUUAGCAAGGGGGAUAGGUCCCCCCUAGUACCUCUAGGAGUUGUAACUCUCGUUCUGAGCUCCCUCCCCCUAAGAGUACUCCUCGUGUCAGCCUACGCUUUCCCAGUAAACGGCCAACCCCCCAUCCUCGAAAGAAGGGUAGGUCAUCCAAGCCUAAGGCUCCAGCUCGUUCCUCAGACCGGCCUCCCAAAUCUCCCCCUACCACACCUUUAAAAUCUGGCAGCCUUUUUUUCCCUAAGUACUAGGAGGGCUAUUGACAACUCUAUGAAAUAAGAGUUAUUAUGGCAAUUCUAGACUUAAAUCAAGAUCACUUAGAGAGUAAAUGAUGUGUUUUUAUUGCAUUUUUGUUAUAUUUUGCAUAAACAUUCAGUUUAGUUUAGUCUUAAUAAGUUUUGCUUGAUUUAAAGUAAUUGGUGCUCAAAUUGUGUGCAUAAUUGUAGGUUUCCAGAAGCUUAUAAUUCAUGGAAGGGAUGCUAAUGCAGUAGGCUGGGGAAUAAUAUGACCAUAAAAGAAGUGAAACAAAAUCUGGAGCAGUGCAGUGCUAUAGCUAUUACUGGAGCAACCAUUGCUGUAGCAAUCCUGAAACAUCUAUAGGGAAAACUUAGCGCGGGAUAUCUACAGAAUUAUGAUAUGCUUUUUCCUAAUCUGACUCAUGCAUGCCCUAGGCUUUUGUUUACUCUAGUUUUCAGUUAUAAAAAGGGGCGCGCAUCACAUAAAAUGGCGGCAAGGAAUUAACAUUGGAAAAAUCGAGGGAAAAAAAGAAAACAAUCAGAAUUCAAAGGAACCAAGUCUGCAUCAGUGAAGAAUCUAACAGAAUUAUUUGGAUUCAAUCUUCAUCGUUCUCUACUUGCUCGGUUCUUUACUCUUUGAUUAAACUGAUGUAUUUCAUGACCAAUAUUUUGCUGUUUGUUUUUCUUUUUCAAAGUAUGAACUAAAUUUGAUUGUAAUUGAGUGAUAAACAAUCUAAAUGAGUUUUUGACUAUUCUUAUGAGUCGUUAUAUGAUUGCUGUAGCAUUUUACUCUAGUAGCUAUUAUUAUAAUCAUUAUUUCGGUUGACCACUUAUUUAAUGGUUCAAGUUAAGAUAGAGCCGCAAAAGGGUCUGUCUUAGUGGAUAUUAUUAGAGUAAUACUUGAUCUUAAUUUAAGUUUCUUGAAUUAAGUUUUUCUUGAGUCCCAAAAGGGCUAUACUUGAAGUUAAGAUUUGUGAAGAACUAUACAUAGGAAUUCACCUUAUAGAGUAGAGAGAGGAUAUGUUCAUAAUACCAUACCUUAGGUAGAAUAGCAACUAAUCAUUGUUAGGAUACUUAAGGGUAUGAGAAGUCUAACACUCUACAUCUGAGGAUGCAAAAUAAUUCUACCCAGUGCUGUGGGAAUUGCUGUAGCAACUGGUGUUAAUUUGAUGGAAAACAGUCAACCCAUGAAGAAAGUUUGACCAUUCAGCUACUUCAUUCUUAUUUGAUUCUUUUACACAAUUUAUCUAAUAUAUUUCAUUACUGCAAUUAUUUGUUUUAUUCCUUACAAUUGUUAAUUUUGGUAGUAAUCAACUUUAACUAGGUUCAUCUUGAAAUAAAGGUAGACUGUACUAUUGUGAUUGCUGUAGCAUUUCUAGUAACAUCAGUUCCUGUGGAGACGAUCUAGAAUAUUCAUCACUUUAUUACUUGUUGUGUACACUUACACAUUGACAUAAAUAGCAAUUGUGUUAGAAAAUCACCAACAUGUACCCCGGUCGCUGUGCCUCCUGGUGCUAUUUUAUUGGCGUUCCUUGCAGUUAUGUCAGGAAUAUUCUUAUUUUUAUGCAUAUGACGGCUUGUGUAUUUUAAAAAUAUACGUGGGGAGCAAGUUUGAGGCGUAUUCAUGUGUCAAGCGUAGUGGAGUGGUCAUGCGUACCCCUGUAAUUCCAUUGUAAUUUUGCAGGUGUAGCAUGAAGAGGCUAGUGGUCCUAAUUGUCAUAGUAUCAACCUAUUGGAUUAUUUGCUGGCGUGAUAGGCGGCUGUCUCCUCUUUUGUAACACGAGAUUUCCUCGUCGAUUCUUUAUUUUUUGACACGUAUUCAGCUAAUCUUUUUGAGAUUUGGGGCCCAUCUAUCCCUUGACAUUUUUAUGAAUAUUUUCCUGACUUUUAUAUCCUUACAUGGUGUACCCGAGAUAUUCUUUGGAGCACUUAAGGUAGCUGGGGUACCUAGGGUACCCGAGGUAAGCCAAUUUCUUAAAUAUCGACACGUGGCGCUUCAUCAUUGGCCUCAUGUUUCCUUCCCAAACAAUAUCCCCUAGUUUCUUUGUGGCAAAUGUAAUUGAGGCAAAAGAAACUCUUGGGAGGAAUGGUGCAUGACACAUGGCGAUAUUCAAUGGCACACCAAAUCAAGUCUAUUAUGGAAGUUUAAUGUGAACAAUAGUAAGAUUGUCGAGGCAACUUUUCAAAAAGCAAAUAUCCCAAUACAGCAAAAGGUACAAAAGGAAAGAAAGAAGUCUACUAAAACGUCCAAGGAUGAACUCUAAAUAACAACAAGUAGGAUCAAGCAAAAAGGGGAACAUCAUCUUAACGGCUCCUCUCACCAAGGGCAUCAGCAGGAGCACCCACGGUCAAAGGAGUAUUACCUUCAUGAACAACGCUAACGGAGGGGAGAUUUGCCUGAGGUACUUGGGGUACUCCAGAAAAUCGCUAUAGGUUGAGAGAUGAUGGAGCUUGAAUUACCCUUUUAUCCUUGAUCGCUUUCAGAAUGGCUGACUUGUCCACCUAUUUCUCUACCCGAGGUACCACUAGCUCUAGGUCUACACUCCAAACCUCCGUCAUGAUGAGAGUGAAAACUCUGUCGACCAUCUUCUUCUGGUGAGAUAGUAGCUCACCAUGCUUAGCCUCAACCCCUUCUAACUCUUUGGAUAUGCGAGUGUUCUCUUAAGUUUGAUCGUCCAAGCGCCCCUGUAGGGCAUUGACCUCCUCUGCAAGUUUCUCCUCCCGAGACCGACCAAGUCUGACCUCCCCUUGUAAUUUCUCCACAUCCGUCUGUGCAGCCAAGGUACUACUAAAGUCUCGAAGCCUGUGGCUAGAAGGCCACCUACACAAAAAAAAAAGAUAAGAAAAAAAGAGUGACAAUUACAUUAAAAAAAAAUGUUGACAGAGUAAAGGUAACGGCACCUCACAACACAAAAAGAAAAGUGUCAAAAAUUUUGAUACAGUUUAUAGUCUUUUUAGUGCUAUAAAAUUAUGAAUGUUGAAAAAAGAGGAGGGGAAAUUUACAAAAAUAACCUAAAAAUUUUUGUUAUUUUCACAAUUAGCCCUUUAAACUUUUUUCUAUCAACAGUAACCAAACACAAAGUUUUCUCCCCCAAAUUACCCUCGUUUACUAACCAAAAUCAACAUUUCUUCUCCCCCUUGAUCAAACGAAAAGCAAUCUUGUACUCUUUGAAUCAUCAUCGGCGACCGUAAACUGCAACGGCGAACGGUAAAAGUGAACUCUGAUUAAAUACAACAUAAUCCAUCCGAAUCCAACACCAAUCCGUAUCACCGAGCGGUAAGAGGUAUUUUCUUAAUUUGCGAACUUGAUUCAGUGUGACUGCAGACAGGUGCGAAGGCUGCCUAUCACACAAUGUUCGUGCGACAGGUAGCCUGUCGUACCGAGAUACAGACUUAAUGGAUUCAGUUUCAUAGUGCGUAAUUAAAUUUUUUAAAUAAUUUCAGGCUUAAUAAAUUCAGUUGUACUUCAAUUGUGUUAUGAUGGUUGGUGGGAGACGUUAGGAGAUGACCGUAUGGAGUAUGUGAAUGGUAAAAAUAUGGCUUUUUUGGUUUGAAAAAAUUGUCUGUUCAAUCAGUUUUUUACAAGAGUAUAUGAGGUCUUACAAAUAAAUCUUAAUGAAUAUAGUAUCACAAUGAAGACAACUUUGAGGUCUAGUAACACAUUCUAUUGGAUGUGUAUACUACCCAUAGACAUAUUUAAUGAUGAAAUAGUGAGGGUUGUAUUGCAUAUGGCAUCCGAUGUGGCCAAUUAUGAAUGCAUUCCUAUAUUCGUUGCCACAUCUCCUCGAGCUUUGAAUGAAGAUCUUGAACCACCCGUUGAAACAUAAACUUCCUUUAGAGCAAAUAUGUAUGGCCCUAAUAUUGAAGAGGAGGUGCUGCCAAGGGCGACGUCGUUGUAGCAAUAUUACUCUCCACUCCACAAUAAUAAUGACAACAUUGAUGACAACGACAUUACGUUAAUGGAUGUUGAAGAAUAUGUAUUACCACUAACGAUGUCAUUGGAGCAACGGUAUUCUCCGUAUCAUAACAAUGAUUUCCGCGACAAUGAUAAUCAUGUUGAUGACAUUGGCAAUGUGGAGGCGGAUAAUGUUUGUGCAGAACCUUCUAAUAGUAUGAGGGCCACUCAUUUAAAUAAUGCAUGUGAUGAUGGAGGUAUUGAUCCUUCCAAUAUUCCGUCGUGGUAGCAUAAAAAUGAGAGUGAAGACGAUAUUCCUGUGAAUAAUAGAGACAAUCGCUCUAUUUCUCUAAUGGCCGGUUCAAUAAAGAGGAUUGACCCCCUCACAAGUCUUGCUCCAAGUUUUGUUAGCAAUUCUGACUCAGAUGAUAUCAGUGUAGGUAAGCUAUUUACUGAGAAGAAUGAGUUAAUAUUACAACUGCGCAAGGUUGCCUUUAGGGAUAAGUUUGAUUUCAAAAUUGCACGGUCUACAACGACACGUUUUGAGGCUCACUUUUGUUCGGAAUCAUGUAAAUGACGUAUUCAAGCUAUUAGAAGUUCAAUCGAGCAUAAUGAUGGUCUUUGGGUGGUGAGGAGAAUUGACAAUGUACACACCUGUUAUAAUGAGGUAUUGGUUUGUGGUCGUCAUCAAGUAAGGAGCCGAGCUGUUGGUCAUAUUAUUGCAGAUAAAUAUAUUCAAGAAAAAAUGAUAUACACUCUGAAUGAUAUUAGAGCAGAUAUAUUGUAGGAAUACGAUGUGCAGUUAACAUACCAGCAGGCAUAUCAGGCUAGAGAAGUUGGUCUUGAAAUAGUUCUAGGGAACCCUGUAGAGUCAUACAACUUGCUCCCUAAAUACUCUCAUGUAUUGACUAAAGCGAAUGAGGGUACAAUCACUCACCUCAAGCAAGAUGGAAAUGGUUAUUUCGUGUACUACUUUGUAGCACUUGGCUCUUCCAUCAAGGGUUUUAUGCAGUACAUUCGGCCUGUCAUUGAUGUGGAUGGUACUCAUCUAAAGGGGUUAUAUCGUGGAAGCAUGUUCGUAGCAACAUGUCUCGAUGGUAACAAUCAACUGUAUCCGUUAGUCAUUGGGAACAUGGAUUCGGAAAACAACGAUGCUUGGGAAUGGUUUAUGAUAAAGUUACACACAGUGAUUAGCGAUAGGUCGGAGUUAGUAAUUAUCUCUGAUCGAUGCACUGCCAUAAAGAGAGCCGUUCUCAAAGUAUUUCACAAUGCAGCUCAUGGGGUUUGUUUUUACCAUGUGAAAGGUAACAUUAAGUCAAAGUUCAGAAUGUCUAAAGCUCUUUGGGAUGAAUUUGAGCCUACCUUUAUUAAUGCAGCAAAGGCAUAUGGACACGAAUAAUUUAAAAGGCAACUUUAAGGGUUGUGGAUGCUCCACUCGGGCGCGACUGAUUACUUAAAGAAUAAUGUUGGUACAUGUAAUUAGGCAAGGUCUCAGUUUGAAGGUAGAAGGUAUAAUAUACUUACCACCAACAUCGCAGAGAGUGUUAAUUCUUUCAUGAGGGAACAUUGAAAAUUUCAUGUUACCCAUCUUAUUGACCACUUUAGAAAAACAUUGCAGCAAUUGUUUUAUAAUAGAAAAAUUGUGGCUGAAUCAAUGAGUACUCGGUUAACAACAUGGGCGGAUAAAAGAGUCAUUGAGAGGAGAACUAUGGCUAAAAGAAUGAUCGUUCGCUCAGUGUCUCUGCAUCGAUUUCAAGUUGUAGGUGGUGGGAUUAAGGAAUGCUUAGUUGACAUACAAAAUAGAACUUGCUCCUGUAGAGUAUUUCAAUUUGAUCAGCUUGUUUGUGCUCAUGCAUUGUGAUUUGUUUGACUGUCCGAGUGGAUUACAUAAACCUUUGUGACUAUUACACCAGGGAAUCGUUAGCAAUGACUUAUGCACAACCAAUGGAGCUGGUUGGCGACGUGACUGAUUGGGAAGUUCCAGAUGAAAUUCAAGAGAUGCACGUUUAUCCACCUGUUGAGGCACCACUACCUGGUCGUCGUAAGAAGCUUAGAAUACCCUCAGCUGGCGAGGACGUCAACCAGAGAACUGUUAGAUGCGGCCGGUGUAAUGAACCGAGACAUAACCGUAAGUGAUGUAAGAAUCUCAUUGCAUCGAAUCGAAAUUAGUUGUAUUCUUUCAAGUGAUUAUGUUAUAACAUUUGUCACUUGCAAACUUAUGUAUUGUACACUUAUAUAUCAUGAAAUGUUAUUCCUAAGUUUUUUUAUUUUAUAUUGAUAUGUGAGCAUGAAAAUUAAAUAAACUUAAGUACGCAAAUUAAAAAAUAAAUUCAUGUUUCCACAUUCAAAUUUCACAACAGUUUAAAAUACAAUAUCGUCAUUAAAUAUAUUAACUGCAAUAUUCUUUCUAAAGUACUCUCCAUGACUACUGUUAAAUUCUAAUUUAAGCCCGAACAUUAAAUAUAUCGUGAACAUCAAUAAAAAAACACGGCAAUCGCCGGUACUGGGCUCUUGUUGUGGCACACCCUUAACUGCAACAACUUUUCAUGGGUUGGCACUCCGCAACUUAAGUCAGAUGUUAUAGAAUCCAACAUAUUCCAACCAUCGAGGGAAGAUAACUUCAAAUGGCCUGAACUUGACCUUAUAUUUUUUAUCAUCUUGAAACAUCAACAAUGAGUCAUAAAUCCAGACUUUGUUUUUACGAAAGUCAACUCAGGUAAAUACCCAAUGCUCACAGUCCAGGUUAACAGGGAUGAACACCUGGAUAUAAAAAAAUUCCGUAAAUAUAUCAUGUAUCAUAUGAAAUUAGAAAACAUACAACAAAAAGACACAUUAGAUUUUCGAAGAUAAAUAAAAUAAAAUACACACCAUAUUGACAUUCAUCAUUGGUUUAGACAUGGUGUGCUGCCGCCUACCAAUAUAAUUAUUCAAGCUGUCGCUAUAUACUAAUGAAUCGACGGCACAAUCUCCGUUGUUCCAUAGUUGAUUCAAAAACACCUAGUACAUAGAUAUCCAAAAAAAUGUAUAAAUUAACAAAACUUCAAGGCGUUAGAAGAUUAUAAAUAAAUAAAAAGGCUAUUUAUAGGUUAUGUCUGCACAUUACCCAAAAAUAUGUGUCUAUAUGUGUGACACGCUGAACUAAGACAUUCGGAUAUUGUUGUUACUUUUCGCUAAUUAGGCGAUAAUACUCAUGAAUAUGCUGUAGCAGAACAGAAACAUGUCGAUGUAAAAGGAAAAAAUAAUACGCAAAUCCACAACACUCAAAGAAAUUUUAAAAAAAUAAUUACCUCAUCACUUAGCCAUCCCAUCGAAGAUAAACCCAAAAUUACUUCAAAGAACGACUGCGGGUGUUGGGCUCUCCGAUCCACUGUCAUAUCGCCAACGAACCAUCAGUCAAACUCAUCAUACAGACUAGAAUCCUCUAAUCCUCUAAGUGAAUUUACAUCCACACUCGUACUCAUGUCAAUCGCAUGGUCCAUGAUUUGCGGUGGAGGUAAAAGUCGGACACUCUUUUCUCCCCUGAAUGGAGGAAUCAUGUAAGGACUAUUAAAAACAUACGACGGUCUGUAUACUCGGCCGAACUUACUAAUACCCGGAGGUGCCUCAGUGAAGACCUGCACACUCUCCCCACUAACAUCCCCGUAGAAACUAUACAAUGACGUAGGAGUAGAAAAAUUUUGAUUGCCCACAUCAGUAUACACUCCAUAGUCAUCUGGGGCCUAUUCGUUCGGCAAGAUGAACAUAUUAAACAACUAUCAAAUUAAAAGUUAAACGAACACAAUUGUUAAAUUUAAAUUUGCUCACCGCAUACGAGCGUGCAGUGAGAGAAUCUUUAUUUGGACGUUUAGUCAAUGAAUCAAUAAAUCCCACCACGGUUUCUUUAAAAUCUUUAAAUUUUGAUUUCAAUUCAUAAAUGUUAAGAUCAAUCUUGUCCAUCUGUCAUCGUAUAUAAUCAUUAAAUUACUUUAUCCUUAAUUAUUACAAAAAAAAAUGAAGUAAAACUUUAUACUAACAAUAAAAAAUAAUAAUUUAUAUAUGAAGAAAAUAAAUUAUUUAUAACCUCGGAAUCAUGUGCGUCAUCAGACGUGUCUGUCUGCUCCUGAUGGUCAUCUACAAGCACCUCCUCCUCAGAAGUCUCAUGAAGCUGCUCUGAUGUUAGGCUUGACAUGUCAUCAUGCUCAUCUGAUUUCCUUGUAACGGACGGCGGUGCGUUGAUUGAGGGUUGGUGCUGUAUAAAGUAGUAUUUAAAAUAAGGAAAUAAAAAGUCAAAAAUUUCGAUUAAAUAAAUAAUAGUACUUAUAGGAUACCGACUUUAUGAACCCAGUCUGGAAUGUGUGGCAUGUAAUCCUUCACAGUGAGCCAAUAUUUUUUGCUACUCUUCUUUGCAUUUGGCUCAAGGGUUUGUAAAAUGUCCCCUUGCCAUGAAUUCAACCCAAAAUUAUAAGUAUACAGAACUUGAAUUUAGUAAUGUUAAAAAAAAAACAAUACAUAUUACUUACAAGACGAGAUUCGUCAUUGAAGAACGAAUAAACCUUAGCAAAGUUGAUUUUCGAAGAAGUCAUGGGCUUCCAUUGCACGAUGCGGGGAAUAUUCUUCUUUGUUUUCACGACCCAUGCUGAUGGCAAACCUCUAAUCACUUUGUAAAUCCAAGCCUACAACAACCAAAGUGAAAAAGCUAUUAAAACAACCAUCAAAUAUUUAAUACUACAAAACUUAUUAAUAAACAAAAAAACAACGCACCUGAACCCCGGAUGUAAAGCCGUAAAUAUUGUACUUUUCAAUUUUACGAUAUGGGUUUUCCAACCGAGUCGUCCUAAAUUUCUCGUCUUUCUCGUACAGUACAUAGUUAAGACUCUCGUAUAUCAUUUCCCACGACAAACGACCCCAUGGACAAUUUUGAAAGUACUCUAUAUCAUCUACUUCGUUAAGCCAUGAGAAAUUGAUUUGACAAUGGUCUUUUCUUCCAUUUACAACUUUGUCCGCAAAAUAAAAGAGCGCAGUCUUUAAUGCUUCAAUGUCGUCCAUUGUCUCGAAUUUCAACUUCUCAAAUAAUGCCUCAAAUUGCUUAAGAUUUAUGUUGCGAUGCAAACCAUCAAAAUACGUAUUUAGGAGCCUAUGCACCAUUUUUUUAUUUCUUAGUGCGGUAUCUACACCAUAGGAAAGUCCAGUAACCAAGCACCAUUAUGUAAUUGACAAGCGUAUCAAAUGCUCACCAAUUUGAAACCAUAACUGAUCUUCCUUGUUGUCUUCUCCAUGGGUCACUUGCCUAACCAAAACAUUGUGCGAAAUUACAUCACUAAAUGGAAAGCUUCGACACUCCAAGAAAUGCCUAAAUAUAUCCUUCUUGAACAUAUGUAAUUGCCGCUUAGUUAAUUUUCGCUCGAUGGCUUUUACGACUAUAAAUAAGUUACACAUGCUCGAAAUUCGACCCGGGGAACUUGUGGCUUGUUGGAUGUGUUGUUGGGGGAAAGCAGAUGGGCAAGAAACAUACGGGACCAAUGAGGAAGCGUUGUGCAGUUGGGGCUAGUAGGGUUGACAGCCCUCCUGCGGGUUCUCCUUCCCACAUCUCCAUUAGCAAGGGGGAUAGGUCCCCCCUAGUACCUCUAGGAGUUGUAACUCUCGUUCUGAGCUCCCUCCCCCUAAGAGUACUCCUCGUGUCAGCCUACGCUUUCCCAGUAAACGGCCAACCCCCCAUCCUCGAAAGAAGGGUAGGUCAUCCAAGCCUAAGGCUCCAGCUCGUUCCUCAGACCGGCCUCCCAAAUCUCCCCCUACCACACCUUUAAAAUCUGGCAGCCUUUUUUUCCCUAAGUACUAGGAGGGCUAUUGACAACUCUAUGAAAUAAGAGUUAUUAUGGCAAUUCUAGACUUAAAUCAAGAUCACUUAGAGAGUAAAUGAUGUGUUUUUAUUGCAUUUUUGUUAUAUUUUGCAUAAACAUUCAGUUUAGUUUAGUCUUAAUAAGUUUUGCUUGAUUUAAAGUAAUUGGUGCUCAAAUUGUGUGCAUAAUUGUAGGUUUCCAGAAGCUUAUAAUUCAUGAAAGGAAUGCUGAUACAAUAGGCUGGCAAAAAGGAGGAAGAACAUGGCUAUAAAAAAAUUGAAACAAAUCUAGAACAGAGCAGUUGCUGUAGCCGUUGCUAUAGCAACCAUUGCUGUAGCAAUCCUGGAACAACGACAGAGAAAAUUCCAUGCGGAAUACUUGCAGAAUUGCGAUCUGCAGUUUCCUAAUCUGACUUAUGCGCGCCCUAGGCUUCUUUUUACCCUAAUUUUCAACUAUAAAAGAAGCACACAUCAUAAGGAUUAAAGGGUGCCGUCACCCAAGGAGAAAAACACAAAGAAACAAAAGAAAAAUAAGAUUCAAGAGAGAGAUUGAAGGUUACACAAGAGGAAAAAUUACAGAGAUCAAUUGAGAGCUCAAUCCUUCUCUUGUUUUCUCAUUUUCUAUUUAUUUAUGGGGAUGUGUUUCAUGGCUGAAACUUUGUUCUUUAUUUUUCUUUUACAAACCAUGAACUAAAUUUAUUUGUGGUUGAGUGAUAAACAAUCUUGAUGGUUUAUUGACUGAAUAUAUGUGUUGCUGCAUGUUUGCUGUAGCAAUUUGUUUUGAUACUAUUUAUUUUUAUUCAUUAUUUCGGUUGAUCACCCAUUUAAUGAUACAAGUUAGGAGAGAGUCGCAAAAGGGAUUAUCUUAGUGGAACAUAUCAGAACAAUACUUAAUCUUAAAUUGAGUUUCCUGGAUUGAGUUUUACUUGAGUCCCAAAAGGGCCAUGCUGGAUUUAAGAUUAGUGAUGAACUAGACAUAAGGAUUCACCUUGUAGGGUAAAUAGAACCUAAGUGUGUAAUGCUAUAUCUUAUGUUGGCAUAGCAACUAAUCACUGUUAAGUUGCAUAUAGAUAUAAAAUAUCCAACAUGCGACGGCUGAGGAUACAUAAGGAUUUUGCCCAGUGCUGUAGCAAAUAUUGCAGCAACCGAGCCAACCAAUAGAAAAUUGUCAAGACCAUUAAGAGAGUUUAUUCACUCAACUACUCUAUAUUCCCAUUGAUUUUAUCCUUGAGAUUGUCGUGAUAAUUUACUUUGUUGCAUUUUAUUUAUUGUGUUUUUAUUUUAAUUAGUACAUUAGUUUCAUUAAUUGUUUAUUUUAUUUUAGCACAAAAUCUGCACUGUUAAGAUUGCUGUAGCAAAUCUAAUAACAUCAAUCCCUGUGGAAACGAUCUUGAAUGCUCAUCACUUUAUUACUUGUUGUGUAUACUUGCAUAUUGACACCAAUAGCAUUAGUAUUUAUACACCAAUAAGUUUUUGGCGCCGUUGCCGGGGACUGAUUGUUAAUUGUGAUUUGUGAAAUUAGUUUUAACGGUGCUAAUUAUUUUAUUUUAUUUUAAUUUGUUUAUUUUGUUGACAUAGGUGAUCUAGCAACCCUUGCAUGUGCAAAUAUAAAUCUAUUGACUGCUAGUUUGAUCCAGAAAUUGAAAGAACUGCAAGGAGAUUGAGAAGAGAGUAUCGGGAAUUACAAGCUGCUGUAGCAAUGGAUAAUUUGCAAGAUUUGAGAAACUUGAAUCGUAGAGAGGGGAUACAACCAGGCAAUAUACAUGAAGGUUUGAAUGGACAAUGUGUUCAAAGGCAACGGGGGAACAACAACAUUAUUCACAUGGCGAACGAUAGAGAUAGAGCCAUUCGAGACUACGCAGUGUUGACUCCUCAAGCCAUACAUUCGGGAAUAGUUAGACCCGACGUUCAAGCGGACAAUUUUGAACUCAAACCCAUGAUGUUUCAGAUGCUUCAAACAGUGGGGCAAUUUAAUGGUUUGCCAUCCGAAGAUCCUCAUCUACACCUUAAGUUAUUUUUGGAUGUAAGUGAUGCUUUCAAGAUUGCUAGAGCAUCGCAAGAAGCAUUGAGACUCAGACUUUUCCCAUUUUCUUUGAGGGAUCGAGCAAGAGCAUGGUUAAAAUCUCUACCACCAGAUUCUAUCACUACAUGGAAUGAUUUGGCUAACAAAUUUUUGAUGAAAUACUUCCCGCCAACCAAGAAUGCAAAGUUGAGGAACGAGAUCACAUCUUUCCAUCAACUUGAAGAUGAGAGCUUGUGUGAUGCAUGGGAGGGAUUUAAGGAGUUACUCAGGAGAUGUCCUCAAUAUGGUAUUCCUUGCUGCAUACAGUUGGAAACUUUGUAUAAUGGUCUUAACCAAAGCACUAGAUUGAUGGUGGACGCUUCAGCAAAUGGGGCCUUGUUAUCUAAGUCUUACAAUGAGGCUUAUGAAAUGUUGGAGAGGAUAUCCAAGAAUAACUAUCAGUGUCCAUCAACCAGACAAGCUGCAGCAAGAGGAAUAGCAGGAGUUCAUAACGUAGAUGCCUUGACAGCAUUGUCAGCCCAAGUAACUUCAUUAACAAAGAUGGUAAAGGCUAUGACUACUGCUCCAGCAACUGUUAACCAAAUAUAUGAUAUGUCUUGCGUUUAUUGUGGAGAAGGGCAUUUAUUCGACAAUUGUCCUGGGAAUCCAACUUCAGUCAAUUAUGUGGGCAGCUUCAAUAGACAGAACCAGGACAAUCCAUAUUCAAACACUUACAACCCUGGAUGGAGACAACACCCGAACUUUUCAUGGAGUAAUCAGAAUCAACCUGCUGCAGCAUUUAGUGGACAGAACAGACUUGCUCAACCUAGUGGAUUUUAUCAGCAAAAUCAAGAGCAAAGAAGCAUCAACAAUGAUCAACUCAGCUCCCUUGAAGGUUUGAUUAAGGAUUAUAUUGUGAAGAAUGAGGCAGUUGUCCAAAGUCAUAUUGUAUCGUUGAGAAACUUGGAAAAUCAAAUUGGACAGCUUGCUACAACAUUGAGUAAUAGACCUUAAGGUAGUUUACCCAGUAAUACAGAGGGCCCAAGAAGAGAAGGGAAAGAGCACUGCAAAGUAAUUAACUUGAGAUUUGGAAAGGAUGUUCAUAGUCCCGUUGGUGUACCAAAAAGAAGAGCUGAACCCAUUUCAAUUCAGAAAGAAACUCAAAUUGAAAAAAAGCCACAAUCCUCCACUUCACAGCACACUGGUGAGAGCAGUCAAGCUGCAGUAUUUGCCGAAAAUGAUGAUCCAACAACUGUGGAUAACGAGGCUACAACACCAACCCAUAACAUGGCAAAAGAGACAACCUACUGCAGUACAAUAGUUUAGACAUCCACCACCCUUUCCUUAAAGGUUUCAGAAGGAAAAACAAGACAAGUAGUUCAGCAAAAUCUUGGGAGUGCUAAAACAACUACAUAUCAAUAUUCCUUUUGUGGAAGCUCUAGAGCAAAUGCCAAAUUAUGCGAAAUUUUUGAAAGAUAUCUUGAUAAAGAAAAGAAGACUUGGAGAAUUUGAGACAGUUGCUCUAACACAAGAGUGUAGCCGAAUGCUUCAGAGUAAGAUACCGUAGAAGAUGAAGGAUCCAGGAAGCUUCACAAUCCCUUGCUCCAUAGGCACUAAAUACAGUGGCAAAGCACUUUGUAAUCUGGGGGCUAGCAUCAAUCUCAUGCCUUUAUAAGUGUUUAAGAAAUUGAGAGUUGCUGAAUGUAGACCAACAAUAGUGACUUUAUAACUUGCUGACAGAUCUCCUGCAUAUCCAGAAGGAAAGAUUAAAGAUGUGCUGAUGAAGGUGGAUAAAUUUAUUUUUCUAGUGGAUUUCAUUGUGCUAGACUUUGAGGCGGACAAAGAAGUGCCAAUCAUUCUAGGGAGACAUUUCUUAGCCACGGGAAAUACUUUAAUUGAUGUUCAAAAAGGAGAAUUAACCAUGAUAGUGAAUGACCAGCAAAUUACAUUUAAUGUGCUGGAUGUCAUAAAGAGUCCGAUGAGAUUGAAGAUUGUAAUUUUAUCAGCAUUGUGGGCUUUGUUGUAACAAAGAAAUUACACAAUUGCUGCAGUAAGGAAGAAAUCAAUGUUGUAACAUUUGAUGAACUUGAUAAUGAAGAUCGUGGAGCAGCUAACAUAGCAUGGUCAGGGGAGAAGCAACCCUUCAGAAUUGACGAGCAAAUCCAGCAAAGGGAACUCACUCCAAACCAACAAGAAUUCAAGGUUAAUGCACCGAGAGUGAAGCACUAUAUGGGAGAUGAUGUGAACAACCUAAAGAAGGAUCGGUUCUUGAAUGAUCCAGGUUGAGGAAACAAGAAAAGACAUGCUGAAAGACCUAAAAUCAAGCGCUAAUUGGGAGGCAACCUAAUAAGGGAAGUUGUUUCAAGUUUUUUUAAGGCAUUGAAUUUAGCUUUUAAAUUAUUUAAUUUUUCUUUUUGUUAUUUUAAGUGUGCAUCUAAUUUUUUUUUUAUGUCUUUGUGUUAAAUUACAGCAAGCAAAAAAAAAAAACGAGAAAAAACGAGCAGGAAAGAAUUGCUGCAGCAUCACUUACAGCAUGACAUAUAACAGAAGAUUCUCAAACAACAGAGGCAUUUCUUACUUUUGCAGCAGUAAAUGGAUUGAUCAAAUUUUAAGAUAAAGAGUGUUUGAGAAGUGGAUCAAAGAAGAAGUGACCCUUUACAGCAUGUGCUGCAGCAGUGCUUCCAGCAACAGGGCAGUACCCUUAACUGCUAAUUUAUUUUACUUCUUACGCAAAACUUUUCUUUCAUUUAGUUUUUAUUUUCUAAUUCAUUUUGCAUGUCCUUUUAUUUAGUGUAUGCAUGUCUGGUUUAUGUGGUUUUGUUUUGUGUGCUUGUGAGGACAUAACAACACUCAAGUUUGGGGGGGUUGUGUUUCUGAGUGCAUGUGUUUAUGCUUGUGUUGUGUGAAGCUCUGUUAUCUAAUAUUUGUGUAUAGAUUUGAAAACCUAAUGAAGAUAAAUUGAGUGUUAUUCAGUAUUUAUGAGAAAGCCAAGUAGAGAUAGUUAUAGAUGGAGGUUGAACUUCUGUCCCGACACUUAGACUUUGGUUGAGUUUUAUGAGAAUGCUGUAGCAGAGCCAGGAAAACUAAAAAAAAAGAGUAGAAAAUAUCUCAAGUUUGGGGGAAAAUUUUUGUUGGACUGUGCCUGUUAUGAAAUACUUUCUGCUCCAAUGGUUUAAGUUGCUGAGUAACCAAGGUUGAGUAUGCACCCCAUAUGCAAACUUGAGUCCAGAGGCAACACGAGCUAUGAACAGUGCUGCAACAAGUAUAAAAAAAAAAGAGAAAAAAAAUGAUGAUAAAGAGGUCCGCUACCUAGGAUACUAAGUAAUAUGGUCUGUUUAUGAGCCCCUUGUUUAGCCUUGAGUCAAAGGUGUCCAAAGGUAUGACCUAACUAUAACAUCAUUACAAAUGAUAGGCAUUCACAUGAAAGCUCAAUGUUGCAUUGAAGGGUUUAACUGAAAAAAAAUUAUUAUUAUUGUGGUAGCAUAGUUUGAAUAUAAUUGUGAGUUCUGCUCCCCCAUAUGUGAAUAUAUUUGUGUUCUACCUCUGAAUUGUAUACAAAGUUUGUGCAACGCUGUAGCAUCUCUGGAAUUUGAUCAAAGUGGCACAUACACACUUUGGACAGAAUGAAGCCUAAUUCUAUAACUGAACUACUAUGGCAAUUUUAUAUGAUUAAGAAUGUGAUCUGAGGGUGGAAGAAUCCUUGCAAAUUUGAUGACAGAGUUAAGUUAUUUGUUGCAUGAUUGUGUGAUUACAGAGUGAGUGUUCUUGUCAUUACUUGAGGACAAGUAACGAUUUAAGUUUGGGGGUGUGAUAACUCUAUGAAAUAAGAGUUAUUAUGGCAAUUCUAGACUUAAAUCAAAAUCACUUAGAGAGUAAAUGAUGUGUUUUUAUUGCAUUUUAAAUUUUUGAUGAAAUACUUCCCGCCAACCAAGAAUGCAAAGUUGAGGAACGAGAUCACAUCUUUCCAUCAACUUGAAGAUGAGAGCUUGUGUGAUGCAUGGGAGGGAUUUAAGGAGUUACUCAGGAGAUGUCCUCAAUAUGGUAUUCCUUGCUGCAUACAGUUGGAAACUUUGUAUAAUGGUCUUAACCAAAGCACUAGAUUGAUGGUGGACGCUUCAGCAAAUGGGGCCUUGUUAUCUAAGUCUUACAAUGAGGCUUAUGAAAUGUUGGAGAGGAUAUCCAAGAAUAACUAUCAGUGUCCAUCAACCAGACAAGCUGCAGCAAGAGGAAUAGCAGGAGUUCAUAACGUAGAUGCCUUGACAGCAUUGUCAGCCCAAGUAACUUCAUUAACAAAGAUGGUAAAGGCUAUGACUACUGCUCCAGCAACUGUUAACCAAAUAUAUGAUAUGUCUUGCGUUUAUUGUGGAGAAGGGCAUUUAUUCGACAAUUGUCCUGGGAAUCCAACUUCAGUCAAUUAUGUGGGCAGCUUCAAUAGACAGAACCAGGACAAUCCAUAUUCAAACACUUACAACCCUGGAUGGAGACAACACCCGAACUUUUCAUGGAGUAAUCAGAAUCAACCUGCUGCAGCAUUUAGUGGACAGAACAGACUUGCUCAACCUAGUGGAUUUUAUCAGCAAAAUCAAGAGCAAAGAAGCAUCAACAAUGAUCAACUCAGCUCCCUUGAAGGUUUGAUUAAGGAUUAUAUUGUGAAGAAUGAGGCAGUUGUCCAAAGUCAUAUUGUAUCGUUGAGAAACUUGGAAAAUCAAAUUGGACAGCUUGCUACAACAUUGAGUAAUAGACCUUAAGGUAGUUUACCCAGUAAUACAGAGGGCCCAAGAAGAGAAGGGAAAGAGCACUGCAAAGUAAUUAACUUGAGAUUUGGAAAGGAUGUUCAUAGUCCCGUUGGUGUACCAAAAAGAAGAGCUGAACCCAUUUCAAUUCAGAAAGAAACUCAAAUUGAAAAAAAGCCACAAUCCUCCACUUCACAGCACACUGGUGAGAGCAGUCAAGCUGCAGUAUUUGCCGAAAAUGAUGAUCCAACAACUGUGGAUAACGAGGCUACAACACCAACCCAUAACAUGGCAAAAGAGACAACCUACUGCAGUACAAUAGUUUAGACAUCCACCACCCUUUCCUUAAAGGUUUCAGAAGGAAAAACAAGACAAGUAGUUCAGCAAAAUCUUGGGAGUGCUAAAACAACUACAUAUCAAUAUUCCUUUUGUGGAAGCUCUAGAGCAAAUGCCAAAUUAUGCGAAAUUUUUGAAAGAUAUCUUGAUAAAGAAAACUGCUGUACGGCCAAGGCGGAUGUACGGUACAGCAGUAUUUUAAUUUGUUUAUUUUGUUGACAUAGGUGAUCUAGCAACCCUUGCAUGUGCAAAUAUAAAUCUAUUGACUGCUAGUUUGAUCCAGAAAUUGAAAGAACUGCAAGGAGAUUGAGAAGAGAGUAUCGGGAAUUACAAGCUGCUGUAGCAAUGGAUAAUUUGCAAGAUUUGAGAAACUUGAAUCGUAGAGAGGGGAUACAACCAGGCAAUAUACAUGAAGGUUUGAAUGGACAAUGUGUUCAAAGGCAACGGGGGAACAACAACAUUAUUCACAUGGCGAACGAUAGAGAUAGAGCCAUUCGAGACUACGCAGUGUUGACUCCUCAAGCCAUACAUUCGGGAAUAGUUAGACCCGACGUUCAAGCGGACAAUUUUGAACUCAAACCCAUGAUGUUUCAGAUGCUUCAAACAGUGGGGCAAUUUAAUGGUUUGCCAUCCGAAGAUCCUCAUCUACACCUUAAGUUAUUUUUGGAUGUAAGUGAUGCUUUCAAGAUUGCUAGAGCAUCGCAAGAAGCAUUGAGACUCAGACUUUUCCCAUUUUCUUUGAGGGAUCGAGCAAGAGCAUGGUUAAAAUCUCUACCACCAGAUUCUAUCACUACAUGGAAUGAUUUGGCUAACAAAUUUUUGAUGAAAUACUUCCCGCCAACCAAGAAUGCAAAGUUGAGGAACGAGAUCACAUCUUUCCAUCAACUUGAAGAUGAGAGCUUGUGUGAUGCAUGGGAGGGAUUUAAGGAGUUACUCAGGAGAUGUCCUCAAUAUGGUAUUCCUUGCUGCAUACAGUUGGAAACUUUGUAUAAUGGUCUUAACCAAAGCACUAGAUUGAUGGUGGACGCUUCAGCAAAUGGGGCCUUGUUAUCUAAGUCUUACAAUGAGGCUUAUGAAAUGUUGGAGAGGAUAUCCAAGAAUAACUAUCAGUGUCCAUCAACCAGACAAGCUGCAGCAAGAGGAAUAGCAGGAGUUCAUAACGUAGAUGCCUUGACAGCAUUGUCAGCCCAAGUAACUUCAUUAACAAAGAUGGUAAAGGCUAUGACUACUGCUCCAGCAACUGUUAACCAAAUAUAUGAUAUGUCUUGCGUUUAUUGUGGAGAAGGGCAUUUAUUCGACAAUUGUCCUGGGAAUCCAACUUCAGUCAAUUAUGUGGGCAGCUUCAAUAGACAGAACCAGGACAAUCCAUAUUCAAACACUUACAACCCUGGAUGGAGACAACACCCGAACUUUUCAUGGAGUAAUCAGAAUCAACCUGCUGCAGCAUUUAGUGGACAGAACAGACUUGCUCAACCUAGUGGAUUUUAUCAGCAAAAUCAAGAGCAAAGAAGCAUCAACAAUGAUCAACUCAGCUCCCUUGAAGGUUUGAUUAAGGAUUAUAUUGUGAAGAAUGAGGCAGUUGUCCAAAGUCAUAUUGUAUCGUUGAGAAACUUGGAAAAUCAAAUUGGACAGCUUGCUACAACAUUGAGUAAUAGACCUUAAGGUAGUUUACCCAGUAAUACAGAGGGCCCAAGAAGAGAAGGGAAAGAGCACUGCAAAGUAAUUAACUUGAGAUUUGGAAAGGAUGUUCAUAGUCCCGUUGGUGUACCAAAAAGAAGAGCUGAACCCAUUUCAAUUCAGAAAGAAACUCAAAUUGAAAAAAAGCCACAAUCCUCCACUUCACAGCACACUGGUGAGAGCAGUCAAGCUGCAGUAUUUGCCGAAAAUGAUGAUCCAACAACUGUGGAUAACGAGGCUACAACACCAACCCAUAACAUGGCAAAAGAGACAACCUACUGCAGUACAAUAGUUUAGACAUCCACCACCCUUUCCUUAAAGGUUUCAGAAGGAAAAACAAGACAAGUAGUUCAGCAAAAUCUUGGGAGUGCUAAAACAACUACAUAUCAAUAUUCCUUUUGUGGAAGCUCUAGAGCAAAUGCCAAAUUAUGCGAAAUUUUUGAAAGAUAUCUUGAUAAAGAAAACUGCUGUACGGCCAAGGCGGAUGUACGGUACAGCAGUAUUUUAAUUUGUUUAUUUUGUUGACAUAGGUGAUCUAGCAACCCUUGCAUGUGCAAAUAUAAAUCUAUUGACUGCUAGUUUGAUCCAGAAAUUGAAAGAACUGCAAGGAGAUUGAGAAGAGAGUAUCGGGAAUUACAAGCUGCUGUAGCAAUGGAUAAUUUGCAAGAUUUGAGAAACUUGAAUCGUAGAGAGGGGAUACAACCAGGCAAUAUACAUGAAGGUUUGAAUGGACAAUGUGUUCAAAGGCAACGGGGGAACAACAACAUUAUUCACAUGGCGAACGAUAGAGAUAGAGCCAUUCGAGACUACGCAGUGUUGACUCCUCAAGCCAUACAUUCGGGAAUAGUUAGACCCGACGUUCAAGCGGACAAUUUUGAACUCAAACCCAUGAUGUUUCAGAUGCUUCAAACAGUGGGGCAAUUUAAUGGUUUGCCAUCCGAAGAUCCUCAUCUACACCUUAAGUUAUUUUUGGAUGUAAGUGAUGCUUUCAAGAUUGCUAGAGCAUCGCAAGAAGCAUUGAGACUCAGACUUUUCCCAUUUUCUUUGAGGGAUCGAGCAAGAGCAUGGUUAAAAUCUCUACCACCAGAUUCUAUCACUACAUGGAAUGAUUUGGCUAACAAAUUUUUGAUGAAAUACUUCCCGCCAACCAAGAAUGCAAAGUUGAGGAACGAGAUCACAUCUUUCCAUCAACUUGAAGAUGAGAGCUUGUGUGAUGCAUGGGAGGGAUUUAAGGAGUUACUCAGGAGAUGUCCUCAAUAUGGUAUUCCUUGCUGCAUACAGUUGGAAACUUUGUAUAAUGGUCUUAACCAAAGCACUAGAUUGAUGGUGGACGCUUCAGCAAAUGGGGCCUUGUUAUCUAAGUCUUACAAUGAGGCUUAUGAAAUGUUGGAGAGGAUAUCCAAGAAUAACUAUCAGUGUCCAUCAACCAGACAAGCUGCAGCAAGAGGAAUAGCAGGAGUUCAUAACGUAGAUGCCUUGACAGCAUUGUCAGCCCAAGUAACUUCAUUAACAAAGAUGGUAAAGGCUAUGACUACUGCUCCAGCAACUGUUAACCAAAUAUAUGAUAUGUCUUGCGUUUAUUGUGGAGAAGGGCAUUUAUUCGACAAUUGUCCUGGGAAUCCAACUUCAGUCAAUUAUGUGGGCAGCUUCAAUAGACAGAACCAGGACAAUCCAUAUUCAAACACUUACAACCCUGGAUGGAGACAACACCCGAACUUUUCAUGGAGUAAUCAGAAUCAACCUGCUGCAGCAUUUAGUGGACAGAACAGACUUGCUCAACCUAGUGGAUUUUAUCAGCAAAAUCAAGAGCAAAGAAGCAUCAACAAUGAUCAACUCAGCUCCCUUGAAGGUUUGAUUAAGGAUUAUAUUGUGAAGAAUGAGGCAGUUGUCCAAAGUCAUAUUGUAUCGUUGAGAAACUUGGAAAAUCAAAUUGGACAGCUUGCUACAACAUUGAGUAAUAGACCUUAAGGUAGUUUACCCAGUAAUACAGAGGGCCCAAGAAGAGAAGGGAAAGAGCACUGCAAAGUAAUUAACUUGAGAUUUGGAAAGGAUGUUCAUAGUCCCGUUGGUGUACCAAAAAGAAGAGCUGAACCCAUUUCAAUUCAGAAAGAAACUCAAAUUGAAAAAAAGCCACAAUCCUCCACUUCACAGCACACUGGUGAGAGCAGUCAAGCUGCAGUAUUUGCCGAAAAUGAUGAUCCAACAACUGUGGAUAACGAGGCUACAACACCAACCCAUAACAUGGCAAAAGAGACAACCUACUGCAGUACAAUAGUUUAGACAUCCACCACCCUUUCCUUAAAGGUUUCAGAAGGAAAAACAAGACAAGUAGUUCAGCAAAAUCUUGGGAGUGCUAAAACAACUACAUAUCAAUAUUCCUUUUGUGGAAGCUCUAGAGCAAAUGCCAAAUUAUGCGAAAUUUUUGAAAGAUAUCUUGAUAAAGAAAACUGCUGUACGGCCAAGGCGGAUGUACGGUACAGCAGUAUUUUAAUUUGUUUAUUUUGUUGACAUAGGUGAUCUAGCAACCCUUGCAUGUGCAAAUAUAAAUCUAUUGACUGCUAGUUUGAUCCAGAAAUUGAAAGAACUGCAAGGAGAUUGAGAAGAGAGUAUCGGGAAUUACAAGCUGCUGUAGCAAUGGAUAAUUUGCAAGAUUUGAGAAACUUGAAUCGUAGAGAGGGGAUACAACCAGGCAAUAUACAUGAAGGUUUGAAUGGACAAUGUGUUCAAAGGCAACGGGGGAACAACAACAUUAUUCACAUGGCGAACGAUAGAGAUAGAGCCAUUCGAGACUACGCAGUGUUGACUCCUCAAGCCAUACAUUCGGGAAUAGUUAGACCCGACGUUCAAGCGGACAAUUUUGAACUCAAACCCAUGAUGUUUCAGAUGCUUCAAACAGUGGGGCAAUUUAAUGGUUUGCCAUCCGAAGAUCCUCAUCUACACCUUAAGUUAUUUUUGGAUGUAAGUGAUGCUUUCAAGAUUGCUAGAGCAUCGCAAGAAGCAUUGAGACUCAGACUUUUCCCAUUUUCUUUGAGGGAUCGAGCAAGAGCAUGGUUAAAAUCUCUACCACCAGAUUCUAUCACUACAUGGAAUGAUUUGGCUAACAAAUUUUUGAUGAAAUACUUCCCGCCAACCAAGAAUGCAAAGUUGAGGAACGAGAUCACAUCUUUCCAUCAACUUGAAGAUGAGAGCUUGUGUGAUGCAUGGGAGGGAUUUAAGGAGUUACUCAGGAGAUGUCCUCAAUAUGGUAUUCCUUGCUGCAUACAGUUGGAAACUUUGUAUAAUGGUCUUAACCAAAGCACUAGAUUGAUGGUGGACGCUUCAGCAAAUGGGGCCUUGUUAUCUAAGUCUUACAAUGAGGCUUAUGAAAUGUUGGAGAGGAUAUCCAAGAAUAACUAUCAGUGUCCAUCAACCAGACAAGCUGCAGCAAGAGGAAUAGCAGGAGUUCAUAACGUAGAUGCCUUGACAGCAUUGUCAGCCCAAGUAACUUCAUUAACAAAGAUGGUAAAGGCUAUGACUACUGCUCCAGCAACUGUUAACCAAAUAUAUGAUAUGUCUUGCGUUUAUUGUGGAGAAGGGCAUUUAUUCGACAAUUGUCCUGGGAAUCCAACUUCAGUCAAUUAUGUGGGCAGCUUCAAUAGACAGAACCAGGACAAUCCAUAUUCAAACACUUACAACCCUGGAUGGAGACAACACCCGAACUUUUCAUGGAGUAAUCAGAAUCAACCUGCUGCAGCAUUUAGUGGACAGAACAGACUUGCUCAACCUAGUGGAUUUUAUCAGCAAAAUCAAGAGCAAAGAAGCAUCAACAAUGAUCAACUCAGCUCCCUUGAAGGUUUGAUUAAGGAUUAUAUUGUGAAGAAUGAGGCAGUUGUCCAAAGUCAUAUUGUAUCGUUGAGAAACUUGGAAAAUCAAAUUGGACAGCUUGCUACAACAUUGAGUAAUAGACCUUAAGGUAGUUUACCCAGUAAUACAGAGGGCCCAAGAAGAGAAGGGAAAGAGCACUGCAAAGUAAUUAACUUGAGAUUUGGAAAGGAUGUUCAUAGUCCCGUUGGUGUACCAAAAAGAAGAGCUGAACCCAUUUCAAUUCAGAAAGAAACUCAAAUUGAAAAAAAGCCACAAUCCUCCACUUCACAGCACACUGGUGAGAGCAGUCAAGCUGCAGUAUUUGCCGAAAAUGAUGAUCCAACAACUGUGGAUAACGAGGCUACAACACCAACCCAUAACAUGGCAAAAGAGACAACCUACUGCAGUACAAUAGUUUAGACAUCCACCACCCUUUCCUUAAAGGUUUCAGAAGGAAAAACAAGACAAGUAGUUCAGCAAAAUCUUGGGAGUGCUAAAACAACUACAUAUCAAUAUUCCUUUUGUGGAAGCUCUAGAGCAAAUGCCAAAUUAUGCGAAAUUUUUGAAAGAUAUCUUGAUAAAGAAAAGAAGACUUGGAGAAUUUGAGACAGUUGCUCUAACACAAGAGUGUAGCCGAAUGCUUCAGAGUAAGAUACCGUAGAAGAUGAAGGAUCCAGGAAGCUUCACAAUCCCUUGCUCCAUAGGCACUAAAUACAGUGGCAAAGCACUUUGUAAUCUGGGGGCUAGCAUCAAUCUCAUGCCUUUAUAAGUGUUUAAGAAAUUGAGAGUUGCUGAAUGUAGACCAACAAUAGUGACUUUAUAACUUGCUGACAGAUCUCCUGCAUAUCCAGAAGGAAAGAUUAAAGAUGUGCUGAUGAAGGUGGAUAAAUUUAUUUUUCUAGUGGAUUUCAUUGUGCUAGACUUUGAGGCGGACAAAGAAGUGCCAAUCAUUCUAGGGAGACAUUUCUUAGCCACGGGAAAUACUUUAAUUGAUGUUCAAAAAGGAGAAUUAACCAUGAUAGUGAAUGACCAGCAAAUUACAUUUAAUGUGCUGGAUGUCAUAAAGAGUCCGAUGAGAUUGAAGAUUGUAAUUUUAUCAGCAUUGUGGGCUUUGUUGUAACAAAGAAAUUACACAAUUGCUGCAGUAAGGAAGAAAUCAAUGUUGUAACAUUUGAUGAACUUGAUAAUGAAGAUCGUGGAGCAGCUAACAUAGCAUGGUCAGGGGAGAAGCAACCCUUCAGAAUUGACGAGCAAAUCCAGCAAAGGGAACUCACUCCAAACCAACAAGAAUUCAAGGUUAAUGCACCGAGAGUGAAGCACUAUAUGGGAGAUGAUGUGAACAACCUAAAGAAGGAUCGGUUCUUGAAUGAUCCAGGUUGAGGAAACAAGAAAAGACAUGCUGAAAGACCUAAAAUCAAGCGCUAAUUGGGAGGCAACCUAAUAAGGGAAGUUGUUUCAAGUUUUUUUAAGGCAUUGAAUUUAGCUUUUAAAUUAUUUAAUUUUUCUUUUUGUUAUUUUAAGUGUGCAUCUAAUUUUUUUUUUAUGUCUUUGUGUUAAAUUACAGCAAGCAAAAAAAAAAAACGAGAAAAAACGAGCAGGAAAGAAUUGCUGCAGCAUCACUUACAGCAUGACAUAUAACAGAAGAUUCUCAAACAACAGAGGCAUUUCUUACUUUUGCAGCAGUAAAUGGAUUGAUCAGAUUUUAUGAUAAGGAGCAUUUGAGAAAUGGAUCAAAGAAGUAAAUGGAUUGAUCAAAUUUUAAGAUAAAGAGUGUUUGAGAAGUGGAUCAAAGAAGAAGUGACCCUUUACAGCAUGUGCUGCAGCAGUGCUUCCAGCAACAGGGCAGUACCCUUAACUGCUAAUUUAUUUUACUUCUUACGCAAAACUUUUCUUUCAUUUAGUUUUUAUUUUCUAAUUCAUUUUGCAUGUCCUUUUAUUUAGUGUAUGCAUGUCUGGUUUAUGUGGUUUUGUUUUGUGUGCUUGUGAGGACAUAACAACACUCAAGUUUGGGGGGGUUGUGUUUCUGAGUGCAUGUGUUUAUGCUUGUGUUGUGUGAAGCUCUGUUAUCUAAUAUUUGUGUAUAGAUUUGAAAACCUAAUGAAGAUAAAUUGAGUGUUAUUCAGUAUUUAUGAGAAAGCCAAGUAGAGAUAGUUAUAGAUGGAGGUUGAACUUCUGUCCCGACACUUAGACUUUGGUUGAGUUUUAUGAGAAUGCUGUAGCAGAGCCAGGAAAACUAAAAAAAAAGAGUAGAAAAUAUCUCAAGUUUGGGGGAAAAUUUUUGUUGGACUGUGCCUGUUAUGAAAUACUUUCUGCUCCAAUGGUUUAAGUUGCUGAGUAACCAAGGUUGAGUAUGCACCCCAUAUGCAAACUUGAGUCCAGAGGCAACACGAGCUAUGAACAGUGCUGCAACAAGUAUAAAAAAAAAAGAGAAAAAAAAUGAUGAUAAAGAGGUCCGCUACCUAGGAUACUAAGUAAUAUGGUCUGUUUAUGAGCCCCUUGUUUAGCCUUGAGUCAAAGGUGUCCAAAGGUAUGACCUAACUAUAACAUCAUUACAAAUGAUAGGCAUUCACAUGAAAGCUCAAUGUUGCCUUUCUGCUCCAAUGGUUUAAGUUGCUGAGUAACCAAGGUUGAGUAUGCACCCCAUAUGCAAACUUGAGUCCAGAGGCAACACGAGCUAUGAACAGUGCUGCAACAAGUAUAAAAAAAAAAGAGAAAAAAAAUGAUGAUAAAGAGGUCCGCUACCUAGGAUACUAAGUAAUAUGGUCUGUUUAUGAGCCCCUUGUUUAGCCUUGAGUCAAAGGUGUCCAAAGGUAUGACCUAACUAUAACAUCAUUACAAAUGAUAGGCAUUCACAUGAAAGCUCAAUGUUGCAUUGAAGGGUUUAACUGAAAAAAAAUUAUUAUUAUUGUGGUAGCAUAGUUUGAAUAUAAUUGUGAGUUCUGCUCCCCCAUAUGUGAAUAUAUUUGUGUUCUACCUCUGAAUUGUAUACAAAGUUUGUGCAACGCUGUAGCAUCUCUGGAAUUUGAUCAAAGUGGCACAUACACACUUUGGACAGAAUGAAGCCUAAUUCUAUAACUGAACUACUAUGGCAAUUUUAUAUGAUUAAGAAUGUGAUCUGAGGGUGGAAGAAUCCUUGCAAAUUAAACAUGGCUAUAAAAGAAUUGAAAUAAAUCUGGAACAGUAUAGUUGCUGUAGCAACCAUUACUGUAGUCGUUGCUGUAACAAUCCUGGAACAACGAAAGAGAAAAUUUCGUGUGGAAUACUUGCAGAAUUGCGAUCUGCAGUUUCCUAAUCUGACUUAUGCGCGCCCUAGACUUCCGUUUACCCUAAUUUUCAACUAUUAAAGAAGCACACAUCAUAAGGAUUAAAGGAGAGCCGUCACCCAAGGAGAAAAACACAAAGAAACAAAAGAAAAAUAAGAUUCAAGAGAGAGAUUGAAGGCUACACAAGAGGAAAAAUUACAGAGAUCAAUUGAGAGCUCAAUCCUUCUCAUUUCUUCUCUUGUUUUCUCGUUUUCUAUUUAUUUAUGGGGAUGUGUUUCAUGGCUGAAACUAUUUGUGGUUGAGUGAUAAACAAUCUUGAUGGUUUAUUGACUGAAUAUAUGUGUUGCUGCAUGUUUGCUGUAGCAGUUUGUUUUGAUAGUAUUUAUUUUUAUUUAUUAUUUCGGUUGAUUAUCCAUUUAAUGAUACAAGUUAGGAGAGAGUCGCAAAAGGGCUUAUCUUAGUGGAACAUAUCAGAACAAUACUUGAUCUUAAAUUGAGUUUCCCGGAUUAAGUUUUACUUGAGUCCCAAAAGGGCCAUGCUUGAUUUAAGAUUAGUGAUGAACUAGACAUAAGGAUUCACCUUGUAGGGUAAAUAGAACCUAAGCGUGUAAUGUUAUAUCUUAUGUUGGCAUAACAACUGAUCACUGUUAGGUUGCAUAUAGAUAUCUGCAGCAACCGAGCCAACGGCUGAGGAUACAUAAGGAUUCUGCCCAGUGUUGUAGCAAAUACUGCAGCAACCGAGCCAACCAUUAGAAAAUAGUUAAGACCAUUAAGAGAUUUUAUUCACUCAACAACUCUAUAUUCCCAUUGAUUUUAUCAUUGAGAUUGUCGUGAUAAUUUACUUUGUUGCAUUUUAUUUAUUGUAUUUUUAUUUUAAUUAGUACAUUAGUUUCAUUAAUUGUUUACUGUACCGUACAUCCGCCUUGGCCGUACAGCAGAAAAUAUCUCCCAUGUGGAUGAGCGACCUGAGUGUCCGAAGUCUGAUGGGAUUGCUCUCCAUAUUGACCUCUUUAAUCUAGGACUCCACUUGCCCUCCAACCUUUCUGUAUGAGAAUGUUCAGUUAUUUGGGAGUAGCUCUUGGGCCGCUGUCUCUUCCGGGAUGGAGGACGCUUACGGGCUUACAUGUGUUAUGGUUGGAGGUCUUGAAGCGCGACAUUUCUAUUCGGGAGUUGAGGGGCCUUUGCCAAUUCAAAAAGCCUAAAGGUCCCGGUAUUGCUUACUUCUUCGCUUGGGGUGAUCAUGGCCAUAUUUUUUAGGGGAACCCUGCCUUGAAGAAGAGUUACAGAAAUGGAUAGUUUGUUGCUGAGGGUAGCUGGGGGACAGAGACUCUAGGUGAAAAGGGGAACCCCGUGGAGGUUCCCAAUUCCUUUAAUGUAGACUGUAAGUAUCUCCAUUACUUACGGUUCUUUAUCGUAAUCUUUCACAUGAAUAUCUCGCUAACCUUGGGUUUUUCAUGCUUUUGCAGGUGUGACAUGAGCUAAAGGAUCAUGUCCAGUUCAGGAGGUGGGGAGAGAGGCGAAGAAGUUUGUGGGUAGGCUUCAAGGUGCACAGAGGGGUAGUGAUGUGCUAGAGGAGAGUAGAUUAAGGAGAGUGGGGUUGAUUGACUGAAGUCUUCCACCUGCUUCUGGGGGUGACUCAUGUAUGAUUCAGGUGUCGUGGGGUACCCUAUUAUUAUUUACGGGACUGGGGUACCCCGUUAUCACCGCAUUCUUUAUUUUGCUUCCUCGCUUUUCAUUUCCCAUUUUUGCUUUUGUAGUGCUUAGUACUUAUCCGGCUAACAUAACUUUUGUGCAUUGGGUACAGUUAUGGAAUCGGUGGGUGAUGCUUUUGAUACCUUUUUCCAAGCGGUAGUGGGCGGUGCUUCCGGAUCUCAGGAUUCGGCGGUACCCUAGAAAAGUUUUCGGCCGCCUCGAGCUCCCGGACCAAAGGGGAAAUCCCAGGGUACCUCCCACAGCGGGUCGAGGGGUACCUCUCGUUCGAAGAAGAGAAAAUUCGGGCUGGUUUCCGCUUUCCCCGAGGAGUUGCGUGAAGGUGACCUAGACCCGGCUUCCAACAAGGAGGUUUUGCACUUGGCUCGCUGUUUCUACUACUCUGUUGAAAAUGUUACCUCCGAGGUCGCUGAAGAGACAAACAAGAUGAGUUUGAGCCAGCGCUAUGGUCAGGCACUCAGGGCUACCCAAGAGGUAGGCUUUACUGGGGUACCCCGGGUGUACCCAUUCAUUUUUUACUUAUUUAUUCCUAUUGCCAUACACAUAUAUUUAACAUGUAUUUUACGAUCUGUAAGCAUCCGUUCUCCUCAACCACUGCCUUCCAGACCUCGAAUCCCUUGUUGCCGCCCAGUCAGAGGUUGACAAGUUGAGGGGUGAGCUCCAAAGUCACUAGUCUCGUGAGGACGAGCUUGCUCGAGAAGUCAAGACUUUACAGGAACACAUUACUGGCCUUUCUGGAGAGAAAGCUCGAGUGAAGAAGGAUUACGACGAGUUGAGGGCCACAAACGAGGAUCUGUUAUCCCGACAAAAGACGAUGGCGGAGGAUGCGUUCUCACUUAUCAUGACGGAGGUGUGGAGUGUGGAUUCGGACUUGGAGGUACCCCGUGUGCAGAAAUUUGUCAACAAGACCACGAUUCUGAGGAUGAUUGCGGAGAGGAAGUCUUCCCAUGCACGGUCGGGUACCCCUUCCGGGUCACCUAGGGUACCCUGCGCGCUUCAGUCGUUGCCUGCCUCCGAUGGCCAUACUUCAGCUGCUCAUAUUCCGGGUACCUCAGAGUCCUCUGCUGAUUGCCCUCUGGAGACGGAUGGUGGGGAUGGCGUUGCACCCUCGGUGUAGCCUUUUCACUGUGCUCUUGUUUUUUAGAUCUAUCCACAUUUUGCUAUUUAGAACUUGUUUCUUUCUUUUUGGUUUCUUGGGAUAUUCUGUAGUAUUGGGACUUCUCUUUUGUUAUGAAACCAUGCCACCGAGCCCUCUUGUACUUUGCAUUCUUGUUAUUCUGCAAAUGAAUGCUUAACUAAACUGUUAUCUUAUAAAUUUUCAGGGUAUCUCUCAUUUUUCUUUUUUUUUGAAAUGGGGUACCCCCGGUACCUUAACAAAUAUUCGACAUCAGGUGCCUGCUGGUUUAUAUAGAUCGGCGAAUUUGGUGCAUGCCCUUCUCGGCAACCAUGGCAGAUUUCCCAUAAAUAGGUAAUUAAAACAUCAUCGCGACAUCUCGAUCAAAAAUUGAAAGUGCGCAAUUGGUCCAACCAAUCAAUUUCUUAUGUUUUCGAAGCUCUCUCCGAAUUUUGGAAUAACUUACUGUUGGUGUAUAAAUACUAAUGCUAUUGGUGUCAAUGUGCAAGUGUACACAACAAGUAAUAAAGUGAUGAGUAUUCAAGAUCGUCUCCACAGGGAUUGAUGUUAUCAGAUUUGCUACAGCAAUCUUAACAGUACAAAUUUUGUGCUAAAAUAAAAUAAACAAUUAAUAAAACCAAUGUACUAAUUAAAAUAAAAAUGCAAUAAAUAAAUGCAACAAAGUAAACUAUCACGUCAAGCUUAAGGAUAAAACUAAUGGGAGUAUAUAGUAGUUGAGUGAAUAAACUCUCUUAAUGGUCUUGACUAUUUUCUAAUGGUUGGCUCGGUUGCUGCAGUAUCUGCUACAAUCCCUAUGUCUAGUUCAUCACUAAUCUUAAAUCAAGCAUGGCCUUUUUGGGACUCAAGUAAAACUCAAUCCGGGAAACUCAAUUUAAGAUCAAGUAUUGUUCUGAUAUGUUCCACUAAAAUAGGCCAUUUUGUGGCUCUCUCCUAACUUGUAUCAUUAAAUGGGUGAUCAACCGAAAUAACAAAUAAAAUAAAUACUAUCAAAACAAACUGCUACAGCAAACAUGCAGCAACACAUAUAUUCAGUCAAUAAACCAUCAAGAUUGUUUAUCACUCAACCACAAAUAAAUUUAGUUCAUGGUUUGUAAAAGAAAAAUAAAGAACAAAGUUUCAGCCAUGAAACACAUCCCCAUAAAUAAAUAGAAAACGAGAAAACAAGAGAAGAAAUGAGAAGGAUUGAGCUCUCAAUUGAUCUCUGUAAUUUUUCCUCUUGUGUAGCCUUCAAUCUCUCUCUUGAAUCUUAUUUUUCUUUUGUUUCUUUGUGUUUUUCUCCUUGGGUGACGGCUCUCCUUUAAUCUUUAUGAUGUGUGCUUCUUUUAUAGUUGAAAAUUAGGGUAAACGGAAGUCUAGGGCGCGCAUAAGUCAGAUUAGGAAACUGCAGAUCGCAAUUCUGCAAGUAUCCUGCGCCGAAUUUUCUCUGUUAUUGUUCAAGGAUUGCUACAGCAAUGGCUACAGCAAUAGUUGCUACAGCAACGACUACAGCAACUGCACUGUUCCAGAUCUGUUUCAAUUCUUUUAUAGUCAUGUUCUUCCUUCUUUUUGCCAGCCUAUUGCAUCAGCAUUCCUUCCAUGAAUUAUAAGCUUCUAGAAACCUACAAUUAUGCACACAAUUUGAGCACCAAUUACUUUAAAUCAAGCAAAACUUAUUAAGACUAAACUAAAAUGAAUGUUUAUGCAAAAUGUAACAAAAAUGUAAUAAAAACACAUCAUUUACUCUCUAAGUGAUCUGGAUUUAAGUCUAGAAUUGUCAUAAUAACUCUUAUUUCAUAGAGUUAUCACUUACCCCAUACUUUGCUCAAGUAAGAGGACGGAGGUGUGGGUGUUCUCAUACCUAAGCUGAACCUCGUGCCGCUAGGGUAUGCCGGUUUUACUCCACCCUCGGGUCCUUUUUGACCCUCCCUCUCUUUGUCUAGGUAGCUUUGUCGUGCUUCCGCAGAAAGGCUACCCCUGAGCUGUUCACUCUGUUGCCCAUCUUGGCUUUACAUAGAUCGUCACGAUCUAAGCAUAUCAAGUACCCUGGCUGGUCUUGUGAUAGGUUAGUCAUAAUUGACAAGCGUAUGGCGAGAAUUGCAUAUAACCAGAUGCGAGGGUAUAUUAAUGGCGAUAAUAAAUAUAAUCCGCAUUCUAAGAUCGAAGUGGCGAAAAAUAAAGAAAGAACCCACAUCAUAUUAUAACUGACCAACAUAGGGCAUUUGGGUACCCCAUUUGGCCUACCAUACAAAAACAUUAAAGAAAGCAAAUAACAGUAAAAGACUAAAAGUUAAGACACUGUCCUUUAGUAAUAUUUCCGUAGCAUUGCAGUAUUCCAGGGGUGCCUCACGAUUGUCUCAUCCAUGUGGAGUAGCCUGUAUGCACCUGACCCAACGGGUUUGUCGAUGUGGUAAGGUCCUUCCCAAUUUGCCCUAAAAGUGCCUUCGCAAGAUACCCUAGUAUUCUGAGUUACCCUUCUCAAGACCAAGUAUCCUUUCUUGAAGGAUCGAUGGCGUACCCUUUUUUCAUAUAGAUCCGAAAUGCGAUGCUGAUAUAUGGUUGUCUUCAAUUCUGUUCUAGCCCUUUUUGUGGCCACCAAAUCAAGGUUGGAAGCAAUCAAGGAGGUUUUCUCGACCUCAUCAAAGUAUUCAACCAUGUGAGAGGGUACCUCGAUUUCUACUGGAAUCACUGCUUCAACACCGAAUGCGAGGGAAAAAAGGAGUCUCCCAGGUGGAGGUGUUUUGAGUAGUCCGAUAGGCCCACAGAACCCCAGGUAGCUCGUUUACCCAUGCUCCAUUUCUUUCUUCUAGCUUCUUCUUCAGGAUACAUUUGAUAAUCUUGUUAACGACUUUGACUUACCCAUUAGAUUGGGGAUGGGCAGGUGUAGUAAAUCAGUUGGCUAUCCCAAGCUCCGAACAAAAACUUUUAAAUUUUUCAUUAUCUAAUUGCUUGCUGUUAUCACUAACAAUUGCAUAGGGGAUCCCAAAUCUGCAAAUGAGGUUCUUCCAAAUGAAUUCCGUGGUUUUCCUUUCUGUGAUGCUUGUUAGUGGCUCUGCUUCCGCCCACUUUAUGAAAUAAUCUACCGCUAUGAUUGCAUGUUUUGCUUGCCCCUUCCCAGUAGGUAAUGGGCCAAUGAGAUCCAUUCCCCAUAUAGCGAAGGGCCAAGGGGAAGAUAUAACUGUUAGCUUCUCUAGGGGUAGGUGGGGUACCCUGGCGAACCUUUGACAUUUGUCAAAGCUUCGUACCAUAUUCUUGGCAUCUUCCCGCAUGGUAGGCCAGUAGUACCCCUGAAAGAGAGCUUUUUGCGCCAGUGAUUGUGCUCCAUAGUGAUUGCCACAAAUCCCCUCAUGUAUCUCCCUCAUGACAUACUCGGCCUCGUCACUUCCCAAGCAUUUAAGGUAAGGAAGAGUGAACCCUCUUCUGUAUGGGGUAUCCUGGAUCAGGCAGUACCGCGCGACUUUAUACUUUAGUAUUCUUGCUUCACUUUUAUCUGAGGGGAGGUCUCCGUCCUAGAGGUACCUUAUGAUAGACUCUAUGCAAAGUACCUCGUUGGACAGUGAUCCUACUUCCAACGGCUCUAGGAGAUUAAUGCUGGGGGCGGGUAUGUGUUCUGUCGUGAUGGGGCCGGCUGAUUGAGCUACACCAAAGGAUGCCAUUUUUGCCAGGGUGUCGGCUUCGCUGUUCUCCAGUCGGGGUACCCUUUCCACCUUAACCUCGCAAAAUUAGGACAUUAAUUCUUUGGUUUUUCUGAGGUACCCCUUCAUGUUUUCCUCUUUCACUUGAUAUUGUGCGGUAAUUUGGCUUACCACCAAUUGGGAGUCGCUCUUGAUGUGUACCAUUUUUGCUCCCAAAGCCUUCGACAUCCUCAACCCUGCUAUGAUGGCCUCGUAUUCGGCUUCGUUGUUUGAAACCUUGAAUCUAAAUUGCAAAGCGUAGCAUAUUUUCACCUUGUUCGGGUCGAUUAUAAUAACUCACGUACCACUUCCGUGUGAGUUAGAGGAACCAUCUACAUAUAUUUCCCAUACCUGUCCCCCUUUGUCGGUGGAUGGGGUAUCUGACAGGUACCUCAGAUCACCUUCACCACUUGAGUCAUUGGCAAAUUUCGCAAUGAAAUCAGCGAUGGCUUCGGCUUUAAUCGCCGAACGAGGCUUGAAGAUGAUGUCAAACUCGCUUAAUUCGAGGGACCAUCGGAGAAUUUUUCCGGACAUGUCUAACUUCUGGAGGAUUUGCCAGAGGGGAAGGUUGGUGACGACUGCAAUGGUGUGAGCUUGAAAAUAUGGUCUGAGCUUCCGUGCGGAGACAACCAAUGCCAAAACAAUCUUUUCAGAGGUGGGGUACCUCUUUUCGGCAUCAACCAUAGCCUUACUAGUAUAGUAAAUAGAUCGUUGUACCCCAUUAUCAUCCUCUCGGAGUAACACGGAGCUGGUGGCAUGCUCGGAUACGGCGAGAUACAACAGAAGCACCUCUCCCGACUCAGGUUUGGCAAGUAGUGGAGCAUUCACGAGGUACCCCUUCAGUUCUUGGAAAGCCUCUUCGCAAUCGGGUGUCCAUUAGAGCUUCUUGCCAGUCUUCAAAGCUUUGAAAAAGGGCUUACACCAGUCUGUAGCCUUAGAGAUAAAGCGGCUCAGGGCAGCUACCCGACCUGCCAAGCUUUGAACCUCCUUGAUGGUGCGUGGCGAUUUCAUGUCAAGAACAACGUAAAUUUAUCGGGGUUGGCCUCAAUCCCCCGUUGUUGUACCAUGAACCCAAGAAAUUUCCCUGAGGAAACCCCGAAUGCACAUUUUUCAGGGUUGAGCCGCAUUUGGUGUCUUCUUAAAACGGUAAAGGUAUCUCUGAGGUGCCCCAGGUGUUCCCCCCUAUGUACCGAUUUAGUGAUCAUGUCGUCUAUGUACACCUCCAUGGUGCGCCCGAUUUGUUCCUUGAAAAUUUUGUUCACUAGCCGCUGAUAGGUAACCCCGGCAUUCUUCAAACCACACGGCAUAACCUUAUAACAGUAUAACCCGCGGUUGGUGAUGAAGGCCGUUUUCUCUUGAUCGGGUUCAUAUAUUGGGAUUUGGUUGUAACCAGAGAAGGCGUACAUAAAACUAAGCAUCUCAUGCCCCGCUGUUGCAUCCACCAGCUGGUCCACCCGAGGAAGCGGGAAACUAUCCUUGGGGCAUGAAUUGUUCAAAUCGGUGAAGUCCACACACAUACGCCAUUUUCCGUUUGAUUUAUUGACUAGAACAACGUUGGAUACCCAAUCGGGGUACACGGCUUCCCGGAUAAAUCUUGCUGCUAAUAGGCGGUCUACCACUUGUUCAAUUCCAUCGUACCUCUCUUGGUUGAAGGCGCGACGCUUCUGUUUCACCGGUUUAUUAUGUGGGCUGGCAUUGAGUUUGUGACAAGAGAGGGAAUGUGGGAUACCCAGUAUAUCCGAGUGGGACCAGGCGAAUACGUCGUGGUGCUCGCGUAGGAAGGUGAUGAGCCUCUCUCUUUGUUCCUCCGAAAGAUUGGAGCCUACUUUCACGGUCUUUGUUAGGUCGGUGGCACAAAUCGAGACUGAAAUAAGGUCUUCAACUGGGGUACCCCUUUUUUUAUCUUUCAAUAUUCGGGGAUCCAAGGGUGCCUCAACUUCACAUAUGGGCCCCACCUGGUCCCCGUGGGGUACCAUUAAGCUAUCCCCUGCAACUGCUUCUACGCCCAUUGGUGAGGAUUCCAACUAUUUUCGUGGGUGGGCUACCUGAGGAGAUUUUUUUAGUACUGCUCUCCGCUGUCUAGCAAGUGCUCGCUUUGAAGAAUAAGGUGUGGGCUGGCUGCCACUGGGGUACCCCUUCAUUGGUGGAUCAAAAGCUAUUUGGUAAGUGACUUUGGAGGCCACGGAGUAAUAUCCAUGAGCCAAUUGCUAGUCCCCUUUAAUGGUGAUGACUUCUUGGUUGGACGGGACUUUCAUGGCGAGGUAGUGCAUGGAUACCACCGCUUUAGUUGCUACUAAGAAUGGCCUACCCAAUAUAAUAUUGUAGGCACCUGGGUGAUCUACAAUAAGAAAAUCAAUCAUAUGAACAACACGGUGAGGUGCCUUACCAAGUGCAACGGGCAGCGUAAUGAUGCCCUUUGGUAUAACCAUAUCUCCAGCGAACCCAAUAAGAGGCGUAGCCUGAAGUGUUGUGAGUUCCAUGAGGACUUCGGUCACAGCGCAGCCGAGUAUUUUACCUUGCGAGAGGAAAUUGAAUCUUUGAUUCUUAGCGGGUACCUCAAAGAAUUUGUUGCUGGCAUGAGAGAAGCUCGAAAAUCCGCGGAGCAGGAUAAGGGCAAGCGGGUAGUGAUGGCAGUCCUGAACGAGAGGUACCCCCGGGACAUAAGAAAGGCGUGUAUGUCCGGAUGAUCAUGGGCGGACCGACUUUAGCGGGCCAAUCUAGGAGGGCUAUCAAAGGCUAAGGUAGAUCGUUGUCGAUAACCACCGAUAUUGGCAGAGAAGUCAACCUUAAUGAAUGGGGUACACCGAAGGUACCCCACCAUCCCUCGCCUAUCCUUUUUACAGAAAAAGAUGCGGAGGGUAUCUCGUACCCCCAUGACGAUGCCUUAGUAAUUACGUUGAAGGUUGCCACCGGUAAGGUAGCAAGAACUCUUGUAGAUACUAGCAGCUCCGUUGACAUCAUUUUCAAAAGCGUCUUGGAUCAACUACUGAUUGAGUCGCCAAAGAUCACCCUUUAUGCUACACCUCUUAUUGGGUUCGCUGGAGAUAUGGUUAUACCAAAGGGCAUCAUUACGCUGCCCGUUGCACUUGGUAAGUUACCUCACCGUGUUGUUCAUAUGAUUGAUUUUCUUAUUGUAGAUCACCUGGGUGCCUACAAUAUUAUAUUGGGUAGGCCGUUCUUAAAAGCAACUAAAGCGGUGGUAUCCAUGCACUACCUCACCAUGAAAGUCCCAUCCACUCAAGAAGUCAUCACCAUUAAAGGGGACUAGCAAUCGGAUCGUGGAUGUUACUCUGUGGCCUCCAAAGUCAUUUACUAAAUAGCUUCUGAUCCGCCAAUGAAGAGGUACCCCGCACAAUUAAGGGUACCCUACUUAACUCGAGGUACCCGACAGAUCAGAUGCAAGAGAAUCCUCUGAAAAUAUCCGCCAUGAGAAACGUCUCUAUCUCUUAAAAGAUAUUAUUCGAUUUUGUCAGAAUUAGGAAUCAAGAACGUCGUAUCAAAAGGGGGGGACAACUUCCUGCUACCUCUGCCAACAGUGAAGGACACUGUCCCAAGGACAGUGGUCCUCAGUCGCCUACCCGACAGCUACUGCAGAGGUGCCCUAGAUCACUCUCCAGCGCGCGUCACGUUUCCAAAGGAUGAGAUACGCCGCGAACAUGCACAUAACGGCCCCAAAAUCAUAAAAGGUAAGAUGACGUUAGCCAAAAAGGGUACGCCACGUGGCAGCUGAGGUACUCCAUAUAUAAAGGUGCCUAGGUUUCAUUCUCCAUCAUGUUUUCACUCACCAUUAACACUCACACUCUACAAAAUAGGUUUUCUUUAACCUUAAACCCUAAUUUACAGAGGGCUAGCCAGCUCUCUUUGCCAUAAAAGCUUAAGUUUGCUAACUUGAGCGUCGGAAUGUGAACACCGGGGUACCCCGGCUUCACCUCUAACCUCUAUUUCAUUGUUUUGCAGGCGUUGAGCCCAUUUUGAAGGACACCUCUUUUGGUUUUGACCUUUCACCAUUGUUACCACUCCCUCUCCCCUUCUCACCUCCCCCAAAUUUCAGAUACACCGCACCGCAUACAACAAACCAGUGAGGUACCCCAUCUCCCCCAAAAAUACAAAUUCAUUGUUCUAUAUAGAUUUGGCUUUUCCUACCCCAAAAUCUGUUGAAAACAGGAAAUGACCAUAAAAAUUUGUUCAUUAAAAUAUAGUUGAACAAAUUAUAUUUGUUUGGUUGUGAUCACUGAAUUAUAUUUUAAUAAAAAUUUGAUAAAAAAAAUAUUAUUGUACUUGAUAAAGGUUAUUCUUUAAUUUUAACGAGUUUAUAUAUGAUUUCUAAUUAGUCAAGGUUAUAUUGAGUGUUUAUGUAAGUUUAAAGAAUAAAACUUAAAAUUUCUAAAUUUUAUUGGUAGUGUAGGAAAUUGGAAACAAUCUGAAAUCACAUGUCAAAAUCGUGUAACGUUGGCUUUCUUAAAUUUUCACCGAACAGCAGGAAUUAUAUUGUUAGUAGGAUCAGGCUACGGUGCAACAGUGGCACCGUGCCACAGUUGCACCUAGCCGUUGGAUGCAGUUGAAUUGGUGGGAUCCACUGACAUCCAACUGCAUCCAACGACUAGGUGCAACUGUGGCACGGUGCCACUGUUGCACCUAAGGGAAAUCCUUGUUAGUAACCAAACAAAGAUAUCUCAACCGGUUAAAGUAAAACUAGGUCUCCAUUAGAUCUUACCGUGAGUGUACAAAAUGGUAAAUUUGGGAGUACCGUGCACCGGACGCAAGGUAGCCGUAUCCUAAUUUCUUUUAUCCCAAACUAAAAUUGACAAUUCCGUUUAUUCCUAAAUAAAUUGACAUAUUUUAAUUUACUUCUAAAUUAUUAAAAAUAUCAACUCUUCCCUAUUUUAUCAUUCAAAGUAUAAUAGUAAAUGAGGAUUGCGUUGUUGAAAUUAUAUAUUCAUAAUUUUUUGUUUCCUACUUAAGUAUUAAGUAGGGUUGGGUUGAUAAUUUAAAUACUUUACAUGAUAAAUUGAAGUAUCUGAAAUGAAAAAAAAAAAAAAAAUUUACUCGCUUGGCUAGGAAAUUUUGAUAAAAUUUUUUAUUGAACUCGACAAUUAACUACUUAAUUUUGCAAUUAUGCAAUAGAUUUCGAUGAAUUAAUACUAAAUAAAUUAAUGAUUUUAUUAAAUAGUUUUUUUUAUCAGUCACGAUUUAAAGACAAUACGCUAAAUUUAAUUUGUAAUAUUCUUUUAAUUAGUAUUAUUUUUUCAUAAUUCCAAGCACAUAUUACAUAAUGCAGGCUUUACUAACAAAUUUAGAUAAAUAUAUUGGGGCACGUGUUGAACCUUGCUUCAACGAUGGCCAUGGCAGCUCCUUGUAGCCAAGACGAGGUCAUGAUGAACUCCAUGAUGCAUUUUGCAGCGAACCAUCUCACCGUGCUUCACGACUGUCAUGACAUACGUAUGUAAAGAGAUUAAAUAUCGAAAUUAUAGUUGGAAAACUUAAAUUCCAGUAAAUAAAAAGAAAUUAAAAAAUAAUUGAGCCAAAAUAAUUUAAUUUUUUAGUUAAUAAUUGGGCUUCAGAGGGUUUAGGCUUCUUGCCCCUUCUGUUCUGCAUUUUAUUAUUUUGAGCACUGAUUUUUGGCCACGGUAUCAUUAUUUAUGACCAGUGACACAAUUUCUCAUUUUCUUAUCUAAUAAAUGAGGUUUGUAAUUUAAUCUAAAUUUUUAUAUACCGAAUCGAACUAAAUUCAACUCAAAUUUAUCGAAUCGCAUCUAAUCGAAUCAAAAAAUGGAUGAGUUCGUACGAAAUUAUUAAUUGUUUAUAUAUAAUGUGCACUUUUAUAUAGAUAAAAUGUCCAAAAGUAAAAAUGGCUUUUAGCCAAGUCAAGAAGAGAUGGGAAGAAAAUUCCAAAUGAGUAGCUGUCGCUAAGUCUUCUGCGUUGCUAUUGUGAUUCCACGCAAGCUUGGAAAAAGAAAAGGUGAAAGCCACAAAGCCAAUGAAAUAGUAUUGACGAAGACUCAAAUGUGAACUAUUACCUAGCUAAUAAUUAUAAGGUGGACGAAUCAGCGUUCAAAGUUAUCUGUUCCCGUACAAAAGACUUGACUUUACCAUUGGGUCUAUUUAUAAAAGGUUGUGCUUAAUGCCUAAGUUGGGAUGCUGUACUCAUAGUGAUAAAUGAUAAAAAAUAAUUAUAACUUUAAUAAUGUGUUUACAAAAAAAACGUUGUAUGAUAAAGCAUUUCCACCAUAACCGGACCCUUUAUAAAAUUAUUAAAUUAUCUUUAUCAACAGUUAAUUUUACUACUUCUCCAACAAGUUAACACCCUUCUCCUUUUUAUCAGUAAACUUCCACUGCACUAGCAGAAGGCUCAUUUACAUUCACUUAAUUGUUUUGUAAUUUUGCUCAAUUGCAAAAUGAUUUAAUCAACGAUGGCAUUAUACGCAAUGCCGACGCCGAGAGAGCACAUAGAGGAGAUAAGAAAAGAGAAGUUCUUGAUUGGGAGUGAAAAGGUGCAUCGAAUACUUGAGGAGUUUCAUGGAACUGUGGAGCUUCUUUCUGAUGAACUCUAUGCCAAGGAUGUUCACUUUUUUAUGGAGCUCAUUCAGGUCAGUUCAAUUGUCUCUUACAUGAGACAAAAAAUUGUAUUGUGAUGCUGGUGACCGUUUUACUCCCCUGAUUAUGCUGUCAUUUAAAUUUAUUAUCAUCAUUGGAUGAUAAUGCAGGUCUGGUCGUUCUUUUAUCUAGAAAAAAAUAUGAAGACAAAAUUAACUUGAAGGUCAUUUUAUUUUCUUCAAAGUAAAUGAACAGCUUUGCAAUGUUACUAUUGUUAUUUAUCUAAUUCUUUGAGUUAAAUGAAGUGUUAAAAAUAAAUUGAUCAUGUUACUAGUAGUUGGCAAAUUGAGAUGAUACCUUCAUUUACUUACAGGUGUUUUUAACUUUAUGAUUUUCUCUACUUGUUUUUGUGUGUAUGUCCGCGUGUGCGUGUUCGUGCGCAUGUGUUCAAGAUUGAUGAUAGAGUUGAGUAAAUUUGCUUGACAGAAUGCUGAAGACAAUGAGUACCAGGAGGGUGUGGAUCCAUCGCUUGAGUUUGUGAUAACAUCUCGUGAUAUAACAGGCACUGGAGCUCCUGCCACGUUGCUCAUGUUCAACAAUGAGAUUGGCUUUUCUGCUAAGAACAUUGAGUCGAUUUGCAGUUUUGCUAAGUCCACCAAGAAAGGCAACAGAAAACGUGGCUACAUUGGUGAAAAAGGUACCCAUUAUGCACAUUGUCUAUACCAUGACUGUGGUCCUGACAUAGUGUGUUUUUUUUUUCAAAAAAAAAAAAAAAUUAACUCUGAAACUGGGAUCCUGCAGGCAUUGGGUUUAAGAGUGUAUUUCUGGUCACUUCUCGGCCUUACAUAUUCAGUAACGGCUACCAAAUAAGGUUCAAUGAAGAGCCUUGCCCCGACUGCGGCCUUGGCUAUGCAGUUCCUGAAUGGGUUGAGGAGAAUCCAUCUCUUUCUGACAUUCAGAAAGUAUAUGGUUCCAGCUCUACACUUCCUGCUACAAUACUAAUCUUGCCAUUGAAGCGUGAGAAGAUCCACGCUGUGAAGCAGGAACUCUCAAGGAUUCAUCCUGAAGUUCUGCUGUUCUUAUCAAAGAUUAAGCGGCUUUCUGUCAGGGAAGAUAAUGAGGAUCCAAGGCUUAAUACUGUCAGUGCUAUAGCUAUCAGCACUGAGACUGAAUGUAAGACAAGGAAGAAUAUCGAUGCUGAGUCAUAUACACUAGAGCUCUCUGCAAAUGGUGACCAGUUUGAUAAGGAGUGCAGGUACCAUAUGUGGAGGCAAAAGUUUCCCGUCAAGCAGGAAAAUAAGUCCAAGAGAAGAAUGGAUAUAGAGGAGUGGGUGAUCACAUUGGCGUUUCCUAACGGUGAGCGUGUCCAGAGAGGAACAUCAUCUCCUGGCGUCUAUGCGUUUCUACCAACAGAGAUGGUUACCAAUCUUCCAUUCAUAAUUCAAGCUGAUUUCCUUCUAUCAUCCUCGAGGGAAACAAUACGGUUGGAUGACAAAUGGAACCAAGGGAUUCUCAACUGUGUGCCCUCAGCUUUUGUUGAUGCACUAGUUACAUUGGUGACAAUGACAGAUGCUCAAGCCCCAGUGUCUAGUUCUCUUUGGAUGUUUUGCUUCUUGCCAGUCAACAGCUCUCCCUAUCCAGAGUUGAAUGCUGUAAGAGAAUCAAUUAGAGCAAAACUAGUCGAAAAAGACAUUGUUCCGAGUGAGUCAGGCAUGGACCAGAAUUUCUUCUACAAACCCUGCGAAGUGGGAAGGCUGAUGCCCCCGUUUUGGAAUAUUUUGGAGAGAGUGAAAGAAGAAAAUGUGAGCUUGAAAAAUCUGUCUCACCAUGGAAUGAAAGUUCUGAAUUCUUCAUUUGACAAAGAAGAGUAUGAUCUGGUACUGAAUUUCUUGGGUGUGGGGCAUGUCAACAGUGAGUGGUACUCGAAGUGCAUCCAGAGUUUGAAUCUUGUAUUGAGAGUAUCGGAGGAUGUUUACUUGGAGCUGCUUCUUUUUCUAGCUGAAAAUUGGUCUUUUAAAUUCCGGAAUUCCAAUAUUGGUGAUGUACCCUUGAUAAAAUAUGUGGAUUUGGAUGGGAAUGUUGCUUUGUGCAGUAUUAAUGCAUCUGCCAAGUCUCAAAGGAGGGUGUGUCUAGCCCAUCAGCAGUCUUGGCAGUCCUGGUUGAUAGACUGGAAUAGGAAAUUCAGAUGCCCGGCCAAUCACUUUUUUAUGCCAAUGAGCACAUAUGAUGCAGUUCAAUCGUCUUCUAAGACGAACGUGGUAUUGGAAUGGCUGAAAGACCAGGUGAAGGUUGUUAUAGUGACUGUAAAUGAUUAUGCAGCUGUUCUCAUUGAUCAUCUAAAUCAUGACCGGAAGCUUUCUGUUGCCUAUGCUCACUUCUUAUAUCAUUCAUUCUCAAAGAAAUAUCUGUCAUCAGGAAAAGUUGAUCUAUUGUGUGGGCAAAUGCCACUUGUGGAUAAUUAUGGGGAUGUGAAGACACGUAGGUCUGGGGUUCUUGUACCUGCAAACGAAAGCAAAUGGGCGGAAUUGAUUGUUUCAAACCCAUGGAGUCAAGAAGGCUACGUUGAGUUGGGGGAAGAUUACUUGAGUCAUGGAAAUUUUGCCGGGCGAAGUACACCUAGAAAGCAGUUCAUGGAUUUCCUGAAGACUCAUCUCAAGGCUUCUGAUAUCCCCGAUAUAUCUCCUCCAAACGCUGGGAUUCCAGCUGUGUCUGGCCCACUUACCAAGCAAAAUACAUUCUUGCUAUUGGAUUGGAUCAAGAACCUGAAAUAUAAGGGAAUUCGCAUCCCACAGAAGUUCUUGACAUGCAUAAAGGACGGCA